UUCACAUGGGCUGUAAUUUAGUUCAAUUCAGAACUGCAGAUAGUACAGCUUCCACAGGAGCAAGGGAUGUCUGAGCACAAGUGGCUGAGUUCUGAGUGACUUUAUAAAGCACUUUCUACCUUCCUCCGGCAUGAAAACAGGGAUUCUGCACCUGCAUCAUGGACAGUCUGGCAAAAGCCUCUGCUCUGCCUCUGCGGACAAGGAACUAGAGCAAAUGACCAUUUUGAAAUUAGAUCCUGGCAAAAUUACCCACAAUCAAUGAUGGAAACUGAAGGCAGAUUGAUUUACAUCUUCAGUGACAGUUGUACAGAAGUUGAAGAAACAUGUCAUGUUUCCAAAGAAGAGUGAGGAGCUUGGUUGGUCAUACCCUAAAAUUAGGGCAUGAUUAAGGUACGUCAUUUCUUUUAGUUCAGUCAAAGUGCUUUGCUCUUUCCAUUGCAGAGAAUUUCUUCUUCUUUUUUUCAAUCUUUCUCUCUUCCUCUUCUUCCUCUCAUUAGUAGAUGUCUUUUAUAAUUGAUGUCAUUUACUAUCCUUUCAUCAAAUGUAUGCCACAUCACUUAGGCGAACCAGCAGACAGGGCACCAAAACACACAUUAGAGGGGACUGGCUUCCAUGAGACGCUUCGACUGUCUCAUCAGGGCACUUGUAAUAAGCAUCUUGGUGCCACUGAAUGCAAUGCUGUAUUUAAAUAAUAGCUUUCAUCUUCACUCUUUUUAAAUAUAAAAGUAAACCUUGAAGCCCUUUGAAGGACCUCACUAAACAACAUAUGUAUGAAAAUAGAUCAGUAAGGCUUUGAGAAGCGUUCUGAAGUAAAAUCUGUAAAGCAUCUUAGCAUUUUUUUCAAAAAAGACCUCCAGGUAAAUGAUGGCUUUUAAUAAGACACAUGACAAUCUCAAUUACAAGAAUCAUUAGUGUGUGUCCUGUGUGCCAUUUUAUGUUCCCAGCAGGAUAUAUCUUUUCUCAUCAAGGGUUUCCAGGGCUGUCUACUGUUCUCUGUUGUGUAAAAUGUAUUGAAGUGUUCCCCCAAUGCUGAACUAAUGUUACAAACGAAGCAAAACAAAACAAAAACUGGGAAAACCUUCGUCAAGUGGUCAGACAGACUGGAACUAGAGGAUUAUAGGUAAGAGGGAUAAAAUGAAGGGUUGAAAGCUAUAAUUUCUAUUUUUGUGGUGGCAACCACAUCAGCUAUUAGAAUCAGGCAAUUUAAAGAUGUGGCUACUAGAGCUCAGAGUCUGGGAGGAAGACACCUCUGCAUCUGACAGUGAGUCAGGCCCCCAGUUUUGAAGAUGAGCUGUAGGUGAUUCCUUGCUGGAUCCAUUUCCCAGUUAGUUUCUAUUCCUCACUCCGUUCCUGUGUCCCCACACUUUCCACUUGAUUUGAUCUCUUUCUUUGACAAUUCCAUAUUUUACUUUCCUUCUCAUUCCUCUUUCCCCACCCUUUUGUUUUAACUGUAGUUUCUUGGCCUCUGGCUACUGUUUCAUGCUGGAUGUUCCCAGGAAUCAGAUUAUGUUUAGAAAGGAGGUCCCAGAAGGGCCUCCCAAUCCACUAGUUAAUUUUUGAACAUGUUGUGUCCUAUGGGUGUCAGGAACAUUUGUAGAUGAAGUAAUUUGAGGCAUGAGUUUUGAUAGAAGCAGGGACACCAAUAAAAUGACAAAUUUACAUACCUGUCUAAUUUGUGUGAUAUUCACUGGGAUCUUGAGAACUCAAUUUAUAAUUUGUCUUUAUUUUUAUUUUUCACUAGAAUUAACAGAAUCCCAGAGCUUGUAGAAAAUAUAGAAACUGUAUAAAACAACCCUCAUAUUCAGAUGAAGAAAGUGAAGCACAAAAAGUAAUCUGUCCUAAGCCAUUCUGCUUGUCUAUAAGUGCUAUUGGCUUAAUUAUAGUUUUCCAUACAUUUGGACAAGAAAAUACUUUCUCAGAAACUGGUUAGGACUGUUUGAGAAGAAAUAUAAUCAUCAAAACAUAUACACGGUAAAAUAUAACCAUCCAUCAUUUAACAUAGGCAAGAAUAUGUAUAGAGUUGCCUAGGUGUGUUAUUCACAUAGCAAAACUUACUUUGAUGGCAAAUAAAUCUUCUGACUUCUGCAUAUGUAUAACAUAUAUAAACCAGCCAGAUUCUGUACAUAAAUAAAUAUUAUUUUUGGAUACCAGUACAAUCCCUACUUCACUUUUUUUUUGCAUUCCAGUUAUUUAUUACUUACAGUUCUAUAGUUUUAACCAGAACAAAGGGAUUACCCAGAAGAAAGAAGGUAAGCUAUCUCAUCAGUUUUGCUGGAGAUCAGAAGGUUUUGUUUCUAUUAUUAGCUUUGUAUUCUUUAAGAAAAAAUGAAGGGAAAAAAAAAUCUCAUCUUCUCCUUUAAAAGGAUUCCCAUAAAAAUUGGCAGUGGUAAGGUGGGGAGGAAAAGCAUUGCCAAUAACCAGCUAGAUCCUAUUAUUGGAGGCAAUCAGCUUUAUUCUACAGAAAUAUAGUUGUUCUUGAAUAUUUAAUAGACAUAAUAUUUUUAAAACCAACAUAUUACAUAUACCAGUAAAUAUUUUUGUUAAACAAGGCUUUUAAACUUUAAAUUAUACCCCUAAACUGGCUUUCUAGUUUUCUAAAGAAAUAAAGUAAUUUUAAAGAAAAUAUCCGCUCAGAUUAAUAUGUCGAAUACCAUACAAAAAUGUGUGUGGUGAUGUUACUGAAAAUGAGGAUUUUUGAAAACGAAAAAAGCAAAAAGCCAUUGCUCCCAAAGCCUUCAAGAGUGACGUAAGGUUAGCAAUGCAAGUCUUAGAUGUAUUUAGGAAAUAUAAUUUUAUUAGCUUUCUAAUUAUAAGCGUAUUUUGAUUCAAAUGUUUAAAAUAUGGUCAUCUCUUCAGGUAAAGAUGAACAUUUUGAUGAAAUAACAAUACUUGAGGUGUUCUCUAUUUCCACAAUUAAGAGCCAAGGGUUAUUUAUUCAAAUCAUAUGUUUCAGUCUCAAAAUGAUAAGGACACAUUUCAACGAAAUAAAAAUAAUCUUUUUUUUUAAAAAAAAAAGAAACCAGAAUCAUGUGGUAGUUGGCAGGCUUAAUUUGUAUUUUAUGGACUCCAAAUUCAGAUGAAUGUCAUCAAGAUCUGAAUUGUCUCCAUGGCUGUCAUAAUUUAAAUAUUAAUAUCGAAAAUAUACACUGUUAUCAUAUAAUUAAUUAUGAUAUAGAGAAAAUUGAAUUCUCUUAGCCAAAAAACAUACAGGGAAAUCAUCACAAUGAGGAUGAACAUAAAUAUUUUUUUUUGGUACUUCUACAGACUUCUCUGUAACAGUCGAUCUGAAGAUAUCAUCAGAGUUUGCAGGUGUAAAGGUAUCUAUAAUCAAAUAUAGCUGAAAUAAUGAGGCUUCACACCAACUGCCUUUCCUAGAAUCGUCACAGACAGGAAGUGCAGCUGGUGGAAUCACCUGCUUAUAUUCCGCAAAUAGCACUGAAGGAUAUAACUCAAUGAAACUUGAAAUCAGGUUGCACAAAAAUACAUUAUUUCCAAUUUCUCUUUUUAUAUUGAUAGAUAAAUUAUAAAUUCACAGCAACAUUUGUCUAUUGUUAACUUUAUUUCACAAAAUCAUACUAAAGUUUGAGUGACAUCUUUAGCCAGGGAACCCUAGAAACAUCCUUUGGCUAAAAAGUAAAAAGUGCAGUAGAGAAAACAUUUGUGCAGUAGAGAAAACAUUUACAGAGCUAAUGUAAGAGUUUUUGAAAGACACAAUAAAAGGUAUGUUUUGAUCAAAAGCUUAUAUUGUUUAGAAAUUGGACUGUGCUUUAGUAUUUUAUCAACUAAUUUUCAAUCACAAAGAAAAUUUAGAAAGAGAUGAAAUAGAAAUAAAAGUCUUAUUAGUAAGAGUAAUUAUAUAGAUAGUAGAAUGACUACUUUUUAUAAGCAGUAAUUUCAUAAUGUAAUGACUUCCUUUUCAGAAAAAAGAAAGUGAUUAACAAAGCUAAACAUUUACACAGGGCAAUGUACCACAUAACUCAAAAUGCCAGUGCAAAAAGUGUUAGUUAACAAAUGGAGACUCAAUGCUUGUCUGUAAUAAUUAGUCAUAGUUUCUGCACUUAGAAGGAAAGCUCUCCCCAGGAGUUGAGAAUUAGAGUGGAGGUGGAGAUUCUGAGUAUGAGAAAAGCGAAUUUCAUUCAUCUUGCAGGGUUAUACUCCUAUGAUGGAAGGCUCUCAAUUUUCAAGCAAGAAACAUGGAAAUUAUAGUAACUAUGGUCAAUUUAUAUUGGCCCAGAGAACACUUUAUUUUUCUCUGUGCCGGAAUUUCUCAACAGGUGCCACUAUUGAUACUUUGGACCAGAUUAAUUCUUUGUCCUUGGGAGAUCUGCUGUGCACUGGAGGAUUUUUACCCAUAUUAUUGACUGCUUUCCACUAGAUGCCAAUAGUACUCCCUCCCACUAUGGUGAUACCCAUGUAUUGCUGAAUGUUCUCUAGAGAACAAAAUCUGCUUACACUACUUGUCUAGGCAUUUUUGUUUCUUCAUUUAUCUUUAUGCAAAAUGAGUUUUAUUGGUCCUUUGCAGUAACAUUAAUAGGAAUUUUGCAUAGAGAAAAUUUAUGUAUUAAAAAUAGCUCUAUACUGCAAACGUUUCUGCAGGACAUAAGAAUCUCACUGGUGCCUUCAUCUCUUGAAAUAUUUGCUAUAAACACGUGUUGAAUGUUGAGAGAUACUGAAUGUGGGCUCAUAUUUUGUGCUUUAUUUGAAAAUUUGCAAUGUAAAUAAAGUAAAUCGAUGUAAAAUGCAUGCCUUUGGGCAUGAAAAUGUUUUUUUGUGUAUUAUAGUUAAAUAUGGUAAUAUGUCUUUAGAGGUAACUCUCUGUGGCAGUGAACAAAACAAGACCCUACUAUAAUGAUUCUUCAUGCAGCUGAUUUUAACAGAAGAGUAGCCUUCACUGUGCUUUUCUAUAAAUGUUGGCUUUAUCCAUGUAUUAAAGCACAGGUUUCUUGGGAGAACACCCUAAAUAUUGAGAGUGAAAGAUAAAAUCUGAAGAGAAUUUGGAAAUCAUCACUAAAUUGAGCUGACAAACGUGCUAAUCAUGUCUAAAAUAUGGACUGUCAACAUUUUUCUAACUAAUGAUGAGAUGGUAGAGAAGCCAUUAACUUAAUACGCCUCUGUGUGUGUGUGUGUGUGUGUGUGUGUGUCUUUUGGUGGAAAUAAAUUGAUAAGAAAGGAAACAAUAGUAGUCACUUGGAAGCCUAGGAGGCAAGUCAAUAAAAGAGAAAUAUCCAGGUAGUAUGAAACGUUAAGCUUUACACAAUAGAAAUAAAAAUAGUAUAUGGAAUUGAUCUAUUAUUGUUUUAAAAAUGGUAAAAGUUGUUAAACCAGUAACUUUUAGAGUAGUUUGUAAUAAAAAGCUACAUGAACAAUUAAAGAUUUAUUAACUGUUGGAAGUUUCCCUUCAGUAUAAAUUUAUAAAUAUCUAAAGUGUGGGUGUUUGUAUAUUUGACUUCCUCAUUGAGCAUCUGGAAUGACUGAGCUGAUUUGCCCUUUAUUCUUUAGGACACAGAUUUUUUUUCCCAAAAUUUCUGAGGAUCACUUAUUUUCUUUUUAUUUAUUUAUUUAUUUAGGGACUGAGUCUCACUCUGUUGCCCAGGCUGGAGUGCAGUGCUGUGAUCACAGCUCAUUGCAGCCUCAACCUCCCCAACUCAGAUGAUCCUCCUACCUCAAUCUCCAGAGUAGGCGGAACCACAGAUGUGUGCCACCACAUCCAGCUAUUUUUUAAAAAAUUAUCUGCGGAAAUGCAAUCUCCCUGUACUGUUCAGGCUGGUCUUGAUAUCCUGAACUCAAGUGAUCCUCCUAGUUUGGCCUCCAAAAGUGUUGGCAUUACAGGCACAAGUCACUGCACCCUGCCAGGUCACCUACUUUAAAAACCUCUACUAGAUGACGUGGAGGAACUGAAAUUUAAAUAUUCAGUAUUUUUUAUUAUAUGUUUAAAAUUUGAGAUUUUAGUAAGCAUCUAGUUCCAGGAAGGAUAAAAUAUGUUUUUGGGUUUUCUUUAUUUAUUUUUUGGUAGACCCAGUAUUGUUCACUAAGGAUAGAUGUGGGAUCAGUUCCUUUCAGGUAUUAAUUGUAAUGUUGCUGAACAUAUUACCAUGAAUCUGCAGUAUGAAAAUUCAGAUAUUAAACUUAGGAGGCUUUAUAGUCCAAGUUGUAGUAACUCAAUAAUAAAAUGGUGGCAUGUUUAUGGUUCAAUUUUUUCCUUUGUGAAGAGCUUAGGGCAACAAUUCUUUAUUUCUGUAUGUUGCACUUUUAAAUUACAGUGAAGUCUUUCCCUGAUAACAAAUAACAUUACCUGCCAUGAAGAGGAAAAGUGGAUAUGAGAACUUAUCAUUGCCAGCAUAUUUGAAAUGUGACAAAGCAUUUUUAUCAUGAAUAUGUUCAAAUAGAAAAGAAAUCACAAUUUCCUUUAACCAAGUGCUGGGUCACUAUUGCUUUCAACUUAGUUACUGAACAAACACUUAGCUACUAUAAAUUUGCUAGGUCAAAAUUUCUCAAACUUUAGCUGUGACAGAAUUACUUGGAGGGUUUUUUGAAAUGCAUAUUGCUGGGCUUCAUGUUCAGAGUUUCAGAAGAACCUGUGUUCCUAACAGGUUCUCAGGUGAUCCAGUGCUAUAGUCAUUGUUCUAGAGACAUGCUUAAUUUUAGGUACAUCUUAUUUGACUUGAGAACUUUCUCUUUAUUAAGAUAGCAAAGGCGGCAUAGAUAAAAAAAUAAACAAAUUAAUCAGGAUUUUCUUUUUUACAAUAGACGAAAUCAGCAUUACCACAGGAAAGAAUGAGAGUGGUUGGUUUUAAUGAGAGAUUCUUUACAUGCCAUUGAAAGACAGGAAACCUUAACAGAAAAACAAAACUGAUAACCAGCUCCUAAACAGGAAUUUGAAUUAGCUGAAAACUUUUUUCCAAAUGCCUACGACAAAGUCAGAGUUCAUUGUCCUAGACUAGCAAAUUCUUGUUACCAAUAUUUUGUUCAUAUUUUCUUAUAAUUAUUCUCAUUUCACCUGCCAGGGAAGAAUUAAUCAAUUUACCCUCUUGGUCUUCAACCCUCCCUAAAGUACUCAAUAGCUCUUGCCCUUGCAUAUGUUAUCACCUCAGUGUAUUUUUCCCACUAAUUCAAUAAUUUUAUUCAAACAUUGACAGGAUUCUAUUAAAUUUAAGAUAUAUAUUAAUUAAACUAGAGGAAAUCUACUAUAGUGAACAAAUUAUCCGUGAUUUUAAAAAAAAUUUCAAAGGUAGACAGGCCACCUGCAGCUAUAAAGGCUGUGCACCUUCAGGAAGAACCCUUAAGAGUUGAUGAUAGAGGUGGUACCCUCUGAAUUGUACAAUCCAGUGUCCCUUAGCCAGAUAUAAUAGGCCAGGUUUAGCCUGACAGGCAUGAAGUUGUAGUUUCAAUUCCAAAAUUCUACAGAAUGUGAGAGACAUGAAGUACGAACUGCACAUGGGGCUUUACUUGACCAUUAGUUGCUCAGUGUGAUUCAACAGUGAUAGGCAAGUGUUCUCCAAAACUAUGAAAAGCUUACUGUUUUAGUGGAGGAGAGUGUAUCUGGUAUGUGUGAGAUGAGAAGUCCCUCUCUUCAUGGCUGGUAGAAUGGAUCCAGAACUGUUCACUACUCAUCACUCUCACAAUAUCCUCAAUCCUGCCUUAUUUUAGCUGACACUGAUGCACCAAUUAUCCCAUUCAUUUACAAAGAAACUUAAACUAGUAUCUACAUUCAGUACAAAGGGUCUGUAAGUAAUACAGACCCUUCAAUGGAAAAAAAAGGAAUUGUUAAAUUGAAUUUCUUCAAUUAAUUUCAAUUUAAUUUGUGUCGACAAACAUGUACUGGUUUUGACAAUAAAAUAUGUUAAAAUACUGUAGUCUUUAAAAUUCCCAUGUGGAAAUUGGCAACGUGAUUGUAGCUUCUGAAUGAAUACACAGAGUUUUCACUAACUUGUACUCUUUUGACUGCAUAGCAUGGGAAGUUGAGAAAGAAAUUCUUCUAGGUUGAAUAUUGAAAAAAAUCAUCAUCUGUUUCCUUCACUCAGUCACUAGUAUACAAAGACAGCCUUAAGCAGAUUUGCUGAUUAAUUUAUCGGUAUCUAAAUAUUUUGCUUUCUCUUAAUUCAGUGAAUGAUCUAUAGUACUGGAACAUUUAUAUGUUAAAAUUUCUUAUUUGGUUAUUGUCCUUAUUAACUCUUAUAGAUGCUUUAUAAAUCCAAUAAUAGAGCUUUGAGAGCAUUUAUUCUGUUUCCCACACAUUUUAAUAAGUCUGGCCCAGCCUUUUCCACAGAAGCAAAUGUACAGAUCUCCACACUUGAACAUGAGGCCCUCCAGUUCAUAAUAUGCGUACCCAAAGCAGUGACACUAAUGCUGUAUCUAGCCUUUUCAACGGGGAGGGUAAUCUGUGAUAACAAAAUUGUAUCCCUUCCUUCCUGCAAUUACCUCACUAUCCUCACAGCCUUGACAUCUGGAAACCCACUGCUACUGCAGCAGCUGUGACUCCUCUCCUAGCAGGAAGUUAACUAUACAUUCCAAAGAGCACCAAUUGUUUUGAUAUUUUCUGGCAGCUCAAAAAGCUUGGAUAUUGGUGAACACAUUAUUUUGUGGCAACCACAUUUUGGAAUUAUACACAAUUGUACAACAUGUCACAAUCUGAACCACUCACAGGUGUUAAUGUUGUCUUUGUCUUACUGAUGUCAUAUUCUAAAUUUAAUCAUUUUAAAUGUAGAGUAGCAUAGCAGAGAAUUAAAGCUCAUUCUCCUCAUAUUCACUUCUGCCAUCAUUUUCUCAAAUGAUCAGCAUGGAAGAAGACUUACCCAAAUAUAUGCUCCUAUUUAAAUCCUUGGAAGAGAAUUAAUUAAUUUAAGUUAAAAAGCAUUGUGAGCAUCAUCAUGCUCUGUAUUGGCCUACAUAGCACCUCUGUUAGCAGAGUUUUUCAGAUACUUAUGAAUUUUCUAGAAAUCAAAACUUCCAAAAGAGGAGCAGAACUACUAAGCAGUGGGCAAACCUAACUGCAUUUUAGCAUCACCAAAUGUCUAAACCUAUUUCAUGUUUUUGAGCUGACAAAUCUAUAUGUUGUUUUUGCAGAUUGCUCCUAUUCUUUAAAAAUAAUCAAAGAGAUGACUGCUAGAUUGACUUAAUGUAAAUUUAUCUUUAAAUGGCUACAAAUAAUUAUUAUUCUCAUUUUAAGAGCAUUAGUGGCUUUGGUUCAUCAAAUUAAAAGUGAAAUGGAUUUCAGUACUACUCUACAAUUACUUUGUUAAUCAGAAUGAUUGCCAAUGAUCUCACAGGAACUAAAUUGUCUUGCUACAGAACAGAUUGAGGAUUGCUUUAUUUCACAGCAAAGCUCUGCAAAAAUAUAAUUAAUUACAUAUGAUUUUGAUUUAGUUCAUACAUUUUAUUUUUCAUUUCUAUCUUCCCUCUUCCCCACAUUUCUUUUAAAAUAUGGUAAUGUUUUCCAUUGUAUAUUUUUAUUUGCCCUAAAUUCUAAUUAAAUUUCAUAUUUCUCUUUGCUUAAUUAUUUCUUCCGGAAUUUUACACUCAUACUGAUUAAAUCUCAAGCUCUUUCUUCCCUCCUAUUCUUUCUUUCUCUUCUUUCUCACACACAAUUUAAUAGUUCACUUUAAGUGAUUGCUGAUGCUUUGUAUUCAGCGACUCUAAUAUCUGAUAUCCUUUUCUGGUUAAAAAUAUUUUUGCCAGGCAUUUAUAAUAUAUUGUCUAUUACACUGAUUCUGUGUAUGUUUAAGCAUUUGAUCGCUUUUAUUCAAGUGUUCCUACGACAACCAAAAGAUAUUGUGCAUUAUCCUAUUAUUCUAAUGCUCCAAGGUAUACUGCAGGCUUAAAUAACCAUAAAAGCAAUGUUUGUUUAGAAAGUGACUGGUUUGUUUACCUUCACUGCUGCAGAAACUCUCAAGAGGCAAUUUGCCGGGGGCUGAUACUUGUAACCAUUAGCAAUUAUGGAUUCUAGAAAGAUGCUGAUAGAAGUUUUUUAAAAAGGAUUUCAAAAUCAGAUGCAAAAAAUACAACUGUUUUUAUUAUAAUUUAUGCUGCUUGCCUUUCUUAUCUUAACUAAAAUUCACUUUUCAUCAGCCUGCAAUGAGUCAUAGGAAAUGCUGUAUGAAUCUUGGGUCGUUCUUGGACAUUCAUAGUCAGACAAAUUAUUUUCAGAAUCAGUAAAGCAGAAUUAUUUUUAUAUGACGGUGUCUUUACUCAUCAUUGAUAUUUUGCUGAGGUCUGGACAAAAUGCCAGUAAUAUACUUUUUAUUGCCAAAGGAUCCACUUACACAAUGGAGACGUGGGUACACCAUUCUACAGUCAGGCACUGAUCAUUUGACAUAACGUACUGAGCUUUGGGGAAAACACAAGGAGGAUACCUGGGACACUGUUCUCAGGGAGGUUAUCUUCUAGAUUCUUUACUAAUAGUACGUCAAAGAUGGGGAAUAGUAAACACUAAGGAAAGGCUUUUCAACAGAAGCAUCUCCAUUAGUCUCCUUGUUGGGCCAGACAGCAAACUGUGUUUCUGUUUCUAUUAAAUACAAACUGAUCUCAAAUAUUUAGAACAAAGAAAGCACAUCCUUUCCGCCGAAAGUUAUAGAUAUCCUUUGCUAUGUGAUAAAUGGUUGAAAUUAUCAAAUAUUUAGAACAAUAUGAUUGAAGAGUUCAGUUACAGGCUUUGAUUUUGACUAUUUGCUUGUUGAUGAGUGUUUUGCAGAAAUGCCCAAUACGUUUGAAUUGCUUUAGUUUGAGCAUGAUUUGUGUCAGAAAUAGUGCUUAUUAAGCUGUUUAUUGUUCUUUUCCUUUUUCUUACACAUUUAAAAAUCAUUCUUUAUUUUCCAAAGACCUCUUGGUCAGAAAGUUGGCUUUAAGAAUUGUGUUAUGCCAUAAUAUAAUAAAAUGUAUACAGGCAGAAAAUAAAAGAAACAUGAUUUAUGCAUAAGACAUUUUGCCUUUAAGCUAUUCAAACCUGACUUUAGUGAAGUUUAUUAUCCAGAUUUUCUCACCUGAUAACAUAAAUUUUGACAGAAUGAAAAUGUUAGUUUUGACUGAUAAACAAACUGCCUUUAAUCAUCCCAAAAUUUUCGCCUAGGAAAGAAACUGAAAACAGUUCUUAAGUCUAAUUAGAAUAGAGAGAUAACAUUUUUAAUACUAGGUUUAAUCUUGGCAAAAAUAUCUGUAUCUCUAACUCAAACUCACUAUAUACUUUUUAAAAAUAAUAUUCCUCAUCUUUUAAUAUAAAGGAGAAUUUCCAUAUAAGUCAUUAAGACCUAAAAUAUACUAGGUACUGGAAGCUAUCAUUGACACACUGUCAUUCAAAUACUACAUAUAUUUGGCAUAAAUGUAAUAGGUCAUGUACAACAAGCCAUCAAGACUGUGUGCAAAUCCCAACAACUACUUCUUUUUUUCUGUGUUUUUAAAGGAAUAAGACACAAUGAAUUUAUUAUGAAAAUCUCCCACAUUGUAUUUUCCCCUUAAUAAUGUAAUAUAUACAUUUCAAAUUACAAUUCAAUGCCUAAAAAUUUUUAACAUUUUAUAAUUUUUAAAAUUUAGAGACAAUCUGGAGAGCAUUAGGUAUGAUUUUGCAAAUUGUGCAGUGUAUAUUUUAUUACAGACUUUUAACUGCUGAGCUUUCUUACAGAGGUCGAAUGCGUAUAUUUAUGUUCAGCUUAGUCAUAUGACAAAGUAUCUCCAUUGCUUAACAAGAAAAACAUAUAAAAAAGAGAACUAUAAUGUUCAUAACUCCUAGCAUACAAAUGCCACUGCACUGUUCACAUCAAGACAUUUGAAGUUAGAGUCUCGUCACUGUCAACCCAGAUGUGUGUAUUUUGGACACAUUUUUUUGAGCACUACAAAAUCAUAAAGCAACUUAAAAUAACAAUGGAAGAAACCUAAGCUCUGCUUGAUAAAAAUGCACUUUAUUUUAUAAGGUGUUCACAAAAUGGCUUAGAUCUGAAAAAUGAAAUCUGUCUCAGUUUAAGACAAGCACAAAGACAUUUCCCUUCUGGACAACAGACUUUGGCAUUGCAAGAUCAAAGGAACAAUUUUAUCUGCAUUGUGACUACAGCCCAAAAGAUUUUACAGUAUUCCUGUCUCCAUGCUAAAGCUUAUGUGUCUUUAAUGGCAUUUAAAUUAUAGCCCUCUGUAGCCAGCAGUCAAAACACCACAUCAUCUGAUGGGACACCAUGUUAUGUUCUGUCAGUUUGUCUCAUUUAAGAAUUCUUCUAUACUGUACUUGCCCUCAUUUUUCUCUCUUGGUAGAAAAAAUGAGUAAACUGCCUUUUAAACUAGGUUUAGGAGUUGACCUAAUCAAGAUAGACAAAGACAUAUUUUGUCUAUUUAAAAUUACUAAAUUUAAACCUACUUAGAGACUGUUUUUCUUCUUUUUGUUCUGCAAUACACUUCUUUCACAUUUUUGUUUUUUGAUUUUAGGAUUUUCUUCUCUCUAAUGUAUCACAUGGCACAUGGCAUAUUAUAGACACUUAUGACGUGAAAAUUAAGAAUGUGUUUCCAUCAGAAAAUUAAAGCUAAUGUAUUGCUUUCUCUAAGCAAAGUAUUUUAUGUUAAACUGAUUUGUAAAAGAAUGACUAUUAUAUAUAAAGGGAAGGAACUGUUCUCUGAAUUCUGCUAUACCACAUAAUGCAGAUGGCGUGUUUCAAAUGUCACUGGAGAGACAAGUUUUCAUUUGAAUAUGUACUUCUAACAUAAUGUUUAUUAUAGUAACUUAACAAUAAAAACUUGCUGAAAAUUAGCACUUUACUCAGAAUAUUUCUGUACAUAUAAAAAUAAAAUGUUACGUUUUCUUGAUCUGCAGUCCCAUACUCUACCUCUGAGCUAUACCCCCUCCUAGAUGUUACAUUUUCUACAGAAGCAAUCAACUUUUCCUCAGAAAUAGAUAUAAUCAGGAAUACAUUGUACCUUCAGGAUAUCCAAUAUUAUAUAUAUUGAUAAGUAGUUACCAUAGCCAUUUUAAAAAGCAAAACUCAUUUUUUUCCAGGAGCAUAUGCUAGAUUAGUAAUUGAUGGAUAACUUUGCUUUCAUGCUUCAAAAUAUGAGAGGGAGCUUUAUGUAUUUUUAAGAGUAGAUUUAAAUAACUUGAAAAUAUAAUGAAUUUUUAAAUCACAUGUUCAUUUUAAGAUUGAGAUGCAAUAUGCUUGUUGAGGAUAAGUGAUUUUAACAAGCCCACGGGAAGCAUUUCUUAAGUAAAGUGACACUAUAUUAGAAUAAAAUCAACUGAGAGUAUUUAUGAGAAUACGUGUGUCUGUUUUGGAAAAAGCCAAAUAUUACAAUAAAAUAAAAGUCUAAAUGAUUUUGACUGACUUCUGUUUCUAUUACUUUUGUGUAGAAAAUCACAUCUUCCCUUUGCUACAUAGAGAGUAGAAAUAAAGGGGGGUACUGGAAACAUAAUCUAUUUGAGGAGUAAAGUCUUUUUCUCAAUCUGGAAAUUCCAAGGAAACUUAAAUAUAGUUUGCUUACCCAAGGAACCAGAGAGGAGAUGCAGAAGGUAUUUAUUGAGAAUGGGGAUAAUUUAAUAUAACACUUUCUCAUUGAAUCAGGAUUGGAUGUUUCCACACUUGUCUGACAUUUGAUAAAAAAUUAUUGUCAAUUAAAAAAUUAUUGUCAGAAUACUAUGUAGCUAAGUGGGAACAUAGAAUGCAAUAUUUUUAUAAAAAUACUAAUUUUUCUUAUUGGGAGUAAAAAAAAAAAAGAAGAAUAGUGGUUUCCAGUGGCAAAAGAAUAGAGUAGAAAGAACACUUUUCUUUGUGUGGAAAAUAGUUAAUUUUAUAUCCCCAUUCUCUUCUACCCCACAACUAGGAUAAAUCCCAGAAUUGUUUCUGGAAAUAUAAUUAUUUGAUGAAUACUAGAGAUUAUGUGCAACAUAAUGAACACUUGUAAAUCUACUAUCCAAUUUAAGAACUAGAGCAGCACCAAAAUUGAUAAAGCAACCUCUGUACUUCUCCUCUGUCUUCUUCGCUGCCUCAGAAGUUACUGUUAUCAAGUCUCCACAUACAGUUGUUUAGGGUGUGUACUUUACAAAUCUAAGGGAUGCCUACCAUUACACACAGGCCUGAUAUGAACGAUGCCCCUUAAAGUGUGCUGUGUAUCACCUACACAGAUUUUCAGGAUGGCUCUCCACUCUCCUAAACUUUAGGAUUACCUUUUCAAAUGAAAGUUUAGCUUGGUUUGAGCUUUACAAAAAUGGCAAUAUGUUUCCUAUUGUCAUCUACAUCGUUGCACAUAGUGUAUGUUGAUAUUCUUCAUGGUGUACAUUAUUAAAUUAAAUUAUGUAACUAUUCCUAAGUUAUUUUUUGUUCCCUUUUUGGACAUCUAAAUUGUUAUCUGCUUUGCAAUUACACAAAUCCUGUAUGCAUCUCUUGGUGCACAUGAACAACAAAUGCUCUAAGAUAUGUACUAGAGCAGAAAUCUGAGUCAUAGGUUUGUGAAUGAAUUAAGGUAUAUAUGUGAAAGGAAGAACUUUAAAACUCUAAUGAAUCUAUAUGAAGCAUAUUAUGAUAUUAAUAUAAAACUGCACAAACUUCAUUUUAAAAGACCUAAACAUUUUCUAAUAUUAAAUAUUUUCAUCAUUUUUACAAGUAUUAUUUAUGCACAGGCAUCAAAUCUAUAUAAGUAACUACUUGAGUGGUUUUAUAAAAUAUCUGCCUUGCUAAAUCAAUCAACAACCAUUCUCUCCAAAUCUAUUAUCUAGAAGAGGCAGCAAAGCCAGAAUCCAUUUUGGUAAUCUUAAUAUGGAUUAAACAAAUUCAUUUUAAACUCUGAAUAUGGAGGCUAAAAUUAAAGGAUCGAGCCAAUACAAAAAUGACCCAUUUCAUUUUUCUUCCAAUACCCUUUCAAAUUACUUAUGGAAAUAGUGACUAUUAAUACCAAGUCUGAAGUUAUAACUGUAAGCAUAGGUAUAACAACGUAGGGAAAUGUACAGAAAAUUACUAGAUAGAAAGUUUUUUUUCAUUGUGGUGAAAUGUACAUAACACAAAUGUCACAAUUUUAACCAUUUUAAGUGUACAGUUUAUGGGCUUUAAGUACAUUCACAUCAUUGUGCAACUUCACCAUCAAUCAUCUCUACCUUUUCCAUAUUUACCUUACCAAACUGAAACUCUGUACUCAUUACACAGUAAUGCCUAUCCUGCCUCCUUUUAUCUCCUGGCAACCACAUAUUACUUUCUGUCUUUAUAAAUUUGACUAUUCUAGUUAUUUCAUGUAAGUGAAACCAUGUAGUAUUUGUCUUUUUGUGACUGACUUAUUUCACUUAGCGUAAUGUCUUCAAGUUUCAUCUGUAUUGUAGAAGAAUAUUCUUCCUUAAAGCCAAAUAAUAUUCCAUUGUGUAUAUAUGUAUCAUAUUUUUUAUCCAUUUAACCUUGAUGAACAGAGGGCAGUGGGUUGCUUCCACCUUCUGAUUAUUAUAAAUACUGUUUCUCUGAACAGAGAUAUACAAACAUCUUUUUUGGUCCUUGCUUUCAAUUAUUUUUACUAUGAAGAUUUUUAAGAACUCCCAUUAGUUAUCAUCAUGGGCAGUUGCCAUCCUAGGUGUUAAAAGAAAACCCUGAGAUUGGCCUGGCAUGGUGGCUCAUGCCUUUAAUCCCAGCAAUUUGAGAGGCUGAUGUGGGUGGAUCACUUGAGCUCCAGCCUGGGCAACAUGACAAAACCUCAUCUCUACAAAAAACUACAAAAUACGCCACGGAGUGUGGUGGCAUGUGCCUGGAGUCCCAGUUGCUCAGAAGGCUGACGUGGGAGAAUUGCUUGAGCCCAGGAGGCAGAGGUUGCAGUGAGCUGAAAUCACACCACUGCUCUCCAGCUUGGGCAAUAGAGCCAGACCUUGUCUCAAAACAAACAAAACAAAACAAGACAAAACCCUGAGAAUACUUCCUUUAGAUUGGCAGAAGGAAGGAUAAAGACAAUACACAUUUUAUAUAUCUUGAAUGCAUCUAAUCUUCUAAAAAUGAACAGGUCUUAUUGAUACAAUAUCCAAGUUGCUAUAUUCUAAUUUCAAUAAUAUGAAAUUGUUAGAAAUUUAACUAUAGAUAUAAAAUUACUCAUUUGAAGAGCACAUUUUAUAAACAUAAUUUUUUCUCAUGCUACUCCACUUAAUAAUGGGUUACAUUUGCAUGAAAUACCUAUCAAAAAUACUUUAUUCUACUUCAUUAAUAUUUGCUAAUAUUCACAAUGUGAUGAUUAUUUGGUAGAUAAGCUGAUAGAUGAUUGAUGAUAGAGAGAUAGAGAGAUAGAUAGAGAUAGAGAGAGAAAGAGAGAGAGAGAGAGAGAGAUAGUCAAGUCAGUCUGGUUCAACCCUUUCUUGACCAUUUUACAGUAGACAAAACAGAUUUUGAGAGAUUAAGUGUACAAAAUCCUUCAAUGAGGAAGUUGUAACAUCAACGGUCAAACUUUAGUCUUCCUGAUAUCAAAAUGCAUUUUAUCCACUGUAGAUUCUGCCUUUCUUAGCUUAACUAAUUCUCCCCAAAACACUAUGAAGUAGAGAGCAGAGUUGACAGCUGUUCAUUUUCUCUGGAGAAAUAGAUCUUUGAGAUAUUAAAUAAUUUCCUUAGGAUUUCAUAGCUGAUAAGUGGUAUAAUAAUAUCUCAAAUCUUCUGUUUUUUAAUUUGUACUUCUUCCAUAACCUAUGCUACCCAUGACCACCAUUUAGUUUUUAUUGAUGUUAACAUACAGUAUUUUAUCCCAGACAAUAAAGUCUAUGUAUACUGAAUGCAUCCUUUAAAUAUUAAGUGAAGUACAUAACUGGCUCUGUGCCAUAUUUCUUUAAUCAGGAGACUGAGCAUCACAUUUAGAUUUGAUGAGUUUGGGAAGAGUUCUCAAUCAUCCAGAUCCAUGGAGCUUAAGAAUUACUGCAGAAAUCUCCUUCAGUAUAGAUAUAGGGAGCAUUAAUGCUUUUGUGGUACUAAAGAUAUUUUUGAGCUUAGACACAAAUCUUACUUGUCCUGAACUGAUGUGAUAGGAAUUGCACAGGUGCCUCAAAUCAAGCUCAUCUUUGUAAGUAACUCUAGAUAAUAAUACACUUUGGUAUCUUCAAACGUACUUAUUUAUGCAUGGAAAAGUUCAGUAAUUAUCAUGAGGACUGUUUGUAGUUUAGUUCUUUUUGAAUUUUAGUGAAGAGAAAUAUCAUUCAUGCCUUAACACAUGAGGGGAAUCCCCGAAAGGUAACUACUCAUUAUCCUUUGGGUUCAUCCAGUUUCAUGUCAAAUCACUGGACUAUCAUUUCCACAGGCUCAUGCAAGAGAACAAGUGCAGGUGUAGUGAAUUUAUCCUUCUACCCAUGUGGCAUGAAAAUUUCAACGUGCAGUCACGUCAUCAAAAUAUCUUUGCUCCUUUCAUCAUAAUCUAUUUCCAAAAAAGAAGGAGCAAAAGACACUGUUCAUUUUUAAAUGUGGGGCUGGGCACAGUGGCUCAUGCUUGUAAUCCCAGCACUUUGGGAGGCCAAGGUGGGUGGAUCAUGAGGUCAGGAGUUUGAGAUCAUCCUGGCCAACAUGGUGAAACCCCAUCUCUACUAAAAAUACAAAAAUUAGCUGGGUGUGGUGGCACAUGCCUGUAAUCCCAGCUACUUGGGAGGCUGAGGUAGGAGAAUCGCUUGAACCCAGGAGGCAGAGGUUGCAGUGAGCCACCACUGCACUCCAGCCUGGUGACAUAGCAAAACUCUGCCCCUCCCCCCAAAAAUUAAAUUUGGAACUGUCAAAUAAAUAACAGUUCACAUAAUAAUUCAUAAAAUGUGAGUGUCACUCUUUUUAAAAAGUCCCAGGCCGGGCGCGGUGGCUCAAGCCUGUAAUCCCAGCACUUUGGGAGGCCGAGGCGGGUGGAUCACGAGGUCAACAGAUCGAGACCAUCCUGGUCAACAUGGUGAAACCCCGUCUCUACUAAAAAUACAAAAAAAAUUAGCUGGGCAUGGUGGCGCGUGCCUGUAAUUCCAGCUACUCAGGAGGCUGAGGCAGGAGAAUUGCCUGAACCCAGGGGGCGGAGGUUGCGGUGAGCCGAGAUCGCGCCAUUGCACUCCAGCCUGGGUAACAAGAGCGAAACUCCGUCUAAAAAAAAAAAAAAAAAAAAAAAAAAAAAAGUCCCAGAACCCCUUCCUGGGUUUCUCUUUGCUAUUACAAGAGUGUUUAUUAUCCCCUUUACAAUUACUGGGCUUCAUUUUCAACUAAAGAGAUUUCUAUUCUAAACCUAUCAGUAAUAUCUAUAUUAUAACAGGCUCCUAUCAAUGCUCACAUAGUGUCUGUCUUUGGAGCAUUACAAUUUUAGGUUCAUUUUGCUUUUAUCCAAUUGAUUUUACUUUCUGCACAUUUUUAUUUAAUUAGUGUAAAACAAAAUGGAGCUUAAUGAUUACUUAAGGCUGAAGAAAAGGAAAAAAUAUUUUGUUGGUGAAAGGUAAUAAUAAUACCAAAAUAUUUUCAGAUGCAACUAAAAUAGAGUUGACUAGAAAAAAAAGAGAAACAUAAUUUUCAUAUGAUCACUAAUUUAAAAUGCAAACAUUCUGAAAUAUUAGUAUAACACCAUUUCAUUUCUGAAUGAGAAUGGUUAAUUUUCCUCAUUUCUUCCUCAUUUAAAUGAAUAAAAUUUGUUUUUCUUGUCAUGGAUCAACUAAUUGCAUUGAAGUUUUUCCACAAAAAGUAGAAAUAGUUGAUGUCUCUCAGACAUCAACUUUGCAGAAAGCCUGCUGCCACUGAGCAGUGAUAUAACCAUUUAUCUUGGAAGAGCUGCAUUCUGACUAUGAGAAAAUACUUCUCCAGAAUCAAUUUGCUUUAAAGUUUAGGAAGUGGCCAUUCUUUUAUAUGAUACUCUUCCUCCCACUUUAAGAUAUUUACUGUAAAGAUACACACAAAAUGUGAGACCCAGAAUGUUUUAAAAACUUGAACACUUUGGAGGUAACCAAGACAUAUAUUCUAAAAUAUUAUGAGGGUAGGUGAGUAAAUAAAGGAUUCAAUUUAAAAGUGCAGAAGGUAGUCAGGUAAACAAAGAAAUAAAAAGAACAAGGUGGGUAAAUAACAUGAGUUUCUGCUGUUGUCAUUACUCAGAAUAUGAGGAUCUAUUUGGCAAAAGGAAAAUAAAGUAUAUUGACUUAUUAGUUCAUUUCUAAAAAUAUUUAUACUUAAAGCAAGGCAAUUAUAUAAUUUAAAAAGAUACAUAUGAGUAUUACUAAAAUAUGUACAUAUAUAAUAUGUAAUUACAUAUAUAAAAACAUACAAAUUAAAAUCAUCAGUGCAAUAAUCCCUUUGCUUUUUAGAAAUCACUGUCAUACACAAUGAAUUUCAUGUUUGAAUACAGUAUAAUAAUAGACACUGCAGUCAUUUCUAAAAUGAGGUCAUUUAUGUUGGUAACGUAGUUAAAUUUAAAUUUAACUAAAUAUAUUUAAGAAUGAACUUGAAAUGUUAGAUUUGAAAGUAUCUGAAAUUGUCUAAUAUAUUCAAAGUCUGGACAUCUGUACUUCACUGUAUUUGCAUUUUACAUUUCUUUUUCUUUUUGACUUAUCUGUUUUGAAGUGGAUUUCUAGUAAAUUUCCAUACUGCAUUUUACAUGCUGUUGCUGGAAACUAUAUAUUGAUUUUUUUCUUAUGGCUUCUGUUGUAGAUGAACUCAUGUGCAACUGAACUUAUAAAUGAUAUUCAGCAACUCUAGAGAAAGACACAAUCUCCAUUUAAAAAUGAAGGGUGCGCAUGAGUUACUCAACAUGUGAGUCACCAAGAAAUGCAAUACUGUGCAAUGACUGGUGAAUCACAGUCUCUAAAGGAAGCUUUUUGAGAUUUUUACACAGAUGGCUAUGCAAAGCAUAAAUAAGUGUGAGGAGGAGGGAAAAAGGGGAGGAAAAAAUAAAUGUGCUGUGGGACAGGCGACGGCAACUUUCAUUGUUCUUCAUUUUCUUGACCACUGAGCUAACUCCUUAAAGAAACCCUACAACUCAUCUCUACGAUUGCUAUUGCAUGUCUACAUAGACUUUUAAAAAUUCUAAAAUUCACUUCAUUCAAUUUAGAAUUGUUAUUUUUAACUUUUAUACCUUAUACGUGGUCAAGUGAUUUAGGGAGUGAAUUUCCGUGAUGUAUAUGUAAUGUUCUCGUCUAUGCUGCAAUAGGCUGCAUGAGAGCAGGAAUCCCACGCCUUACAGUCUACAAAGAUAGAGUACAGGACAGAAAGUAGAGGGGAAGAAGGAAGGCCUCCCAAAGUUACUUUUACACAUUUGUAAUUUAUUCCAAUAACUUUUAAAACUCUGUCUCUUCCUUCUCCACCUUGUCUUGUCACAAUUCACAUCAAAUUGAAAGUAUUUUAAAAUAAGAAACUGGCUGGGUGCAGUGGCUCACACCUGAAAUCCCAGCACUUUGGGAGGCUGAAGCAGGAGGAUUGCUUAAGCCCAGUUCGAGACCAGCGUGGACAACUUAGGGAGAACCCAUCUCUACAAAAUUAUACAAAACUUAGCUGGGCAUCAUGCCAUGUGCUUGUGGUCUUAGCUACUUGGGAGGCUGAGGCAGAAUUACUGGAGUCGGGGAGGUCAAGGCUAUAGUGAGCUGUGGUCUCAAAAAAAAGAUUCUGUCUCAAUAAAUAAACAAAUAAGAGGCUGAUUAACUUUACUGUGGCCCAUGCAGUACAUGUAUCACCGACCGUGUAAAAUAUAAACAACUGUGAUAACUUUGUGUUGAAACUGUCUAGACUUCUGCUACCCAUAGAAUCAGGUCCGCACUCCCUACCAUGGUAUUAAAAAUGUUUCAUGGGCCGGGAGCGGUGGCUCAAGCCUGUAAUCCCAGCACUUUGGGAGGCCGAGGCGGGUGGAUCAUGAGGUCAAGAGAUCGAGACCAUCCUGGUCACCAUGGUGAAACCCCGUCUCUACUAAAAAUACAAAAAAUGAGAUGGGCAUGGUGGCGCGUGCCUGUAAUCCCAGCUACUCGGGAGGCUGAGACAGGAGAAUUGCCUGAACCCAGGAGGCGGAGGUUGCGGUGAGCCGAGAUUGCACCAUUGCAUUCCAGCCUGGGUAACAAGAGCGAAAUUCCGUCUCAAUAAAAAAAAAAAAAAAAAAAAAAAAAAAUGUUUCAUAUUCUGAGCCCAGAAAAUUUAGCUUUUUGUCCCUCUACUCACUUUGUUUUUCAGAGACCAGCCUACUAUCUAUGUGCUCUUUUUCUAACAUAUGAUUGUUAUACCCAGUUGCCCCCUCUUAAUAGCCAUUUUCCCUCACAUGCCUUGUCUGUUUCUCUUUGCAGAUAAAUUCUACUCAGCUCUUUGGUAAAUAAGAUCUAUUCAAACCUUUCUAGAGUGUUUUUGGAGCUUAGUAUUUAAAGAUAAGAAACCAUAGAAACAGAAAAAAAGAUUUAGGGGUUAUCUAGCCCAAUCUUUUCAUUUUGCAGCUAAGGAAAUUGAAGCACAAAUAAAGAAUACUGCCCAAAGUCAGACAGUAAUAAGUUAUACAGUCAUGACUAUCUAUGACUUGCCAGUCUCUAUACCCGUCAUCACGUGAGCCUUUGAAUCAGGUAGUUCUGGCCUUAACCUUGUGAACUUCCGAACUUACCUUGGGUAACCUUUCAGAUUCUAAAUUAAAAUUGGGAAUACAAAUAUGCAGAAUAGUGAUUUGUCUUUCCUGUUUCCCACUUCAGCCAUUAGUCUACCCGUAACAUGUUCUUACUUUCCGAGAGAACCGGGAGCUACUGUAACGGGAGAAGACAGUGAUUAGAACACAGUCUGUGGAGGUAUAUAUAUGUAUAUAUAUAAAUUCAGAUCUUAAGCCACUGCUUACCACCUUGGUACUUUGGGCAAAUGACUUAAAUGUUGUAUGUCAAUUUCCUCAUUGGUAAACUGAGAAUAAGUAAUUGAUUGGUUUAAUGCAUUCAGACAUACUUACUCAGAGAUUUAUAUUCUAGGCUAUAAGAUUUAGCUGUAAACCACACAAAUAAAAUGCCUGUUGCAAUGGAGCUUCCAUUCUGGUAGUAGGGGACACGUAAUAAACUGACAGACUAAUGAUAUCCGUAGUCUCCUCCCUGCAGCCCUUAGUACAUGUGCUGUCUUCUUCCUGGAAUUUUCUUCUCACAGAAGUCUCAAGAGUUAGCUCCCUCUCACUCUUCAAAUUCUUGUUUAAAAGUCACUUUCGCUGGUUACCUACUUUAAAUUUAAAUCCUGCCCUCAUCACAGUUAAUAUCCCCUUUCCUGUUCUAUUAUUUUUCAAGUGUUAGUCCUUAUUAUUGUCUAACAUGCCAUCUCUUUUACUUGUUUAUCUUUACCUUUCAUCUUUCUCACUAACAUGUAAACUGCAUGAGCACACGGGAAUUUGUCUAUUUUGCCCUCUGACUUAUCCCAAGAUCUUAGGACAGUGUCUGGUAUGUAUCAGGUGUUUGUUACGUAUUUACUAAAGGACUGAAUUAGUAUCUAUGGUGAUAUUUGCAAUUAAGCAACACAAACAACAGAAAACCACAGUAAGCUGAUCGAGUAAGAAAGGUACUGUUACCAAUAGGGUGGUGAUGUAGGCCUCCCUGAAAGUGUAACUUUGAUUAGAGACACGAAUGGGGAAAAAUGAGUCAUGGUUCCAACUAAUGGUCAAGCAUUCUAGGCAAAAACAACAGCAUUCGAAGGUCCAGAGGCUGAUUCGUAUUUAGCAUGCUCUGCAAGUAGAAAAGAAGUACUUGUGACAAGAGUGAGUGAAAAGAAGAAAGAUGGAAAGAAAACGAGAGAAAUAGUUCAGACCAUUCAUUUAAGCUGCGGUGAGGACUUCGGAUUUGGUAAUGUGACUGCCUGCCAAGAUGUAGUGUUGAGAGGUAUUGAAGACAGAGCAUGUACUAGUUCGUUCUCAUGUUGCUAAUAAAGACACACCUGAGAGUGGGUAAUUUAUAAAGAAAAGAGGUUUAGUGGAUUCACAGUUCCACAUGGUUGGGGAGGUCACACAAUCAUGAUGGAAGACGAAGCAAAGGGACAUCUUACAUGCUAGCAGGCAAGAGAGCUUGUGCAGGGGCACUCCCAUUUAUAAAACCAUCAGAUCUUGUGGACUUAGUCACCACCAUGAGGACAUCAUGGAGAAAACUGUUUCCAUGAUUCAAUUAUCUUCACCUGACUCUACCCUUGACUCAUGGGCAUUAUUACAAUUCAAAGGUGAGAUUUGGGUGGGGCACAGCCAAACCAUAUCAGAGCACUUAGAAUAGCAGGCACGUAUGCAGAUAUUCAAUGCAGGUUAUUUAUUACCGUGAACUGAUUCACAGUUAUAAUUUACAAAUGAGGACAAUGAAAAGAGAAGUGAACACUGAAUUUCUUCCCUAUGUAUAUACUUUAUGACAACAUUGCAAAACACGCAGACAGAAGGCAACUUAGGUUUUAAAGGGAUGUGUGUAAAGUUUUACUUAAAAAAGUAUGUUUGUAAUCCCAGCACUUUGGGAGGCCGAGGCGGGUGGAUCACGAGGUCAAGAGAUCAAGACCAUCCUGGUCACCAUGGGGAAACCCCGUCUCUACUAAAAAUACAAAAAAUUAUCUGGGCAUGGUGGUGUAUGCCUGUAAUCCCAGCUGCUCGGGAGGCUGAGGCAGGAGAAUUGCCUGAACCCAGGAGGCGGAGGUUGCGGUGAGCCGAGAUCGCGCCAUUGCACUCCAACCUGGGUAACAAGAACGAAACUCCGUCUCAAAAAAAAAAAGUAUGUAAAGUCUAAUAAAAAGAUGGAUUACAGUCUUAUUUUUUAAAAAUGCACAUUACUUGUAGUAGUCACACUCAUAGAACCUGAAAUAUGUUAGUCCUAAUCUGUUAUUGAUUUUUCUGCACUUACACUCUUAUAAUAUACAGCUGAUUAUUAAAUAAGUCGAUAAAAUAACAAUAGUAUCCUGUUACAUAAUUUGUUUAUUUCAAGCUACUGUUUGUUCUCAUAAACAUUCCAAAAUAUUACCGGUCAGUUCAUUUCACCUCUUUAAAAUGUCCACCCUUGGAGGAAAUAAUCUAGUAUUGUUGAUUCCCUCAAUCUAAAUUCUGUAUUUCUUUACAAUUAUUCUAAGCCAGAAAUUGAAUGGUGAUUUUUAAAAGAUUAUACUUUGUUAUAUGCCUUAUCAAUGCAGACUUAUUUCUUAAUUAUUAUUUUCCACAUUCAGCACAUUCUCUGGAAUUUUCAAUAAACAUGAUGACAUUUCUGAAGAAAAGUUUUUUAAAUCACCAAGUAACUCAUCGCUAAGGUGGUAAUCAUUUCAAUGUAACACCAAAGUAUCUUCUUUCAACCUUAUCAGAAAAGAGGAAAAUAUUUUCACAAAACACUGAAAAUCUGAGUUUUUGAGGAUUUUUAAACCUAGAAGCCAUGCUAAUACUUUGUUAUAAAUAACAAUUUCAAUUCUUUAUGAAAGAGUAAGCAUCUAGUACACUUAGAUUUUGUCAAAUUAAAAAACAUGCGCUAUAUUUAGCUCCAAAAAGAGUUUAGAAAUUGAUUGAAAAAAAUCACAUGAAGGUGGUAGAAUAUGUAGGCUUUUAAUUAUUUUACUUGUCUAAAGGGUACAGCAAUUAGACUGCCUACUAUACAUUAUAAAUUAAUCCCAUUCAUUCUAAAAACUUGUUCAUUAUUUCACAACUUUGAAAUUUGGCUGUCCUAAUUAAUCGCUGUUGCAUAAUUCAGGCACAUGAACCUCUGCAAGGGCUGUGAUUUCCAGCUUGUAAUCACACAUUCAACAAACAGCCGAGUGCUGCAGACAAUGGGUCCUUCAUGCUCCUCCGAGACAGACUUUCUGCCUCUGAUUUAUGGGCUGAGUUCUUCUUGAAAGAAACGCCUGGGUGGGGACAGUGCACAGCCUAAGGCAGAUUACUUGCCUUGGUUCUUGGCCAUCUCACCUGAAAGCUGUCACAUGAGCAUGGGCAAAGAGCUAAGAGGCCCCUUGGAAUAUUCCCUAGAAGAAACAAGCCCACCCCAGGAUCAGCCUCUUCAGGUUACAUCUGCUUUUUGAAAUCCCAGCGCUGAGAAGUGUGCUGUACCCAGGGGCUCCGAGUCUACAUUUCUUCAGGGAAGGCCAAAGAGCCUGCAGCAAAACCCCCUGGUGGACGUGCAUGAGCACUGCCAACACCGGCAUUCUCAGCUCAUCAGAAACAACAAAAAGGGUCAGCCCUUGCCAUCUUGCAGUUUGCUGUCCGAGUUCUUGGUCUACAACAUGACUGUUCUCUGUUUCAAACAAAUGGAAAAUGAUUCCUAACUUAGGUCACUUUUAAUUUAAGUGAAUACAUUUAAAAUGAAAUGAAUUUAAAAUAGAAAAAAAUAUUCUGACCUUUCCUAAUUGUUUUCCUUUUAUUUUGUAUAAUGAGGCAGGGAAAUUACUUACAGUGAGUGUUAAAAAAACAAAUAUACAAAACAAAAACAAAACAACAAGAAAAAAAUGUCACCUAGAACUUCAUUGAUUUUAGGGAAAUCUACUGUGUAAAUCAUCUCAGCAAGAAAUCCUACAGAAAAAGGCAGCAGAUUAUUCUGCUCACUGAUCCUUCUGGUAAUUGCAGUGGCAAGAACAGGGCCGUGACUCUGCCACGUAUGCGAACAGGGGUCCGGAACCCCUUCUGAUGUCUGACAAUGUAUACAGAUUUUUGUUGUUGUUGUUUUUUGAGACAGUCUUGCUCUGUCGCCCAGGCUGGAGUAUAGUGGCACCAUCUUGGCUCACUGCAACCACCUCCUACCAGGGUCAAGGGAUUCUCCUGCCUCAGCCUCCUGAGAAGCUGGAACUGCAGGCAUGCACCACCAGACCAGACUAAUUUUUGUAUUUCUAAUAGAGACAGGGUUUCACCAUAUUGCUAAGGCUGGUCUCGAACUCCUGACCUCAGCACACAGAUUUUAUAGAGAGAAUUGAAGACUUCAGAAAUGAGCUUUGUGCCUGGACACUCAAGGAUUCUGAAAAUUUGUGUUGUAUGGAAUUUCCACUUCUCAUUUUCUAUUGUUCUGUAGAUUUAGCAUAGUUUUACAUUUUUAAGAGUCUUAUUAUUUAUUAAUGUAUAUAGGUUGGGUUGGAGGUAAAAGACAAGACAGAAAAGCAUAAAUAAUAACUCUCAAAGUGGUAUAAUUGUUAACAAAUUACCUAAAUAUUCAUAUGCAUAAGAAAUGUUGGUAAAUAUCACAUAAGUAUCUAUCACACGGAUCCAAGAGAAUUUGAACUUUUCUAUAUUUGUUUAAGAUAUCAAUUCAUUAAUGGGAAGAUAUAUUGAACAAAUACUAUUUUAAAGUCUGAUAUAUAAUCCUGCAAGGCAAAUUUUGGCUCUGUUUUUAAGUCUUGAUUUACCAUUCUGUAUUUCAAAUAUUGACAAAUAAGUGAUUUCAUUGAAUUUGAAGGAGAGAAGAAGGAGGGAGGAAAAUACCUAGAAGUUUAAGAACCAGAUAAGCUUUUUAUUUAUUACAAAGUAUAAAUCAUUUGAUGAAUUCUCUCACAGAAAAAUAAUGAAGAAAAAUCUGUUAAGGAUCCUUGUUCUUCAGAAGAAAAGAAACUGAAUGGAUGCUGAUGUUUUAUGACAUUUUGAGAUCAAAUGUAUUUCCUGUGGCUCUCUGAGAGACAGAAGGGAAGGGGUGGAGAUGCUGGCUUUCCAUGGGUACUAGAGUAAUGGCACUGAUCUGAAGCCACUGCAAAGUCUUAGAUUCUUGAGUGCACUUAUCAAAUAAAACAAGAGAUAUUUAAAACACAAUCAGAGCAGUAAGUUUGUAUUGUUAUAAUGAAACAUUGUAACUCUCUUGGUGUUAUCUCUGGACUGAAACAAAAUAAAAACAAUCAUGAAUCAAAAAAUGGAACAAGAACUGAAGCAAUAAUCACAGACUUAAAAGUUGGGAAGAGAAUUUUUGCCCAACCCAUGAACUUCACUGAGGACCUAAAAAAAAAAAAAAAAAAAAAGAGGAAGUGAUUAUUAGAAAUGACUCCAGAUUAUACAUUGACUCCUGGCUCUGUCUUUAGGUUUUUAUGAGGUUUUAGGCAAGCCUCUUAUAUUUUCUUAGUCAUCAUUUUAUGAAAUUAAGUGUCUCUAUUAGACUACAUGGUAAACAUCCAAAAAACUAGAAAUUUAUGUCUUAAUCUAUUUUGAUAGAAAGUAUAAUCAGGUAGAAUAUUCUUUAUAAUAAAACAAGCAGAAUUAGUGUGAAUAGGUUUUCAUUAUUACUUGAUGAGAUAAUUAUUAAUUUUAGGGUUACUUCUUAAGAUUUUUUUUAGUAGAGAAUCUGUAUAUUUAUAUAGGUAACUAAAUGGGAAAUAAUCCAAAUUUAUACUCACUUUCAGCUGAUAAUCUAUAAUCAAAGUAAUGCCUAAAGUAUAAUAUAGGCCUUAUUAGGUAUCUACUUCUUAUGUUGACAUUCUCUGGAAUUAAACCAUAGACACAUAAUUUUCAUGUUCACAAAAGAAAACCAAAAAUACAAUUAAAAACAAAUUUUUUCUUAAAGCUGUGAUUACAUAGCAUAUAAUUGACUAUAAAUGUAACCUAUUAGCUACUAGGACAUAUAAGUACUAUCCAAUUGUCCAAAUAUAAAACUCUGCAGUAAGAGAAAGUACGAAAGUCUAUUCCUGCUUGGCUCUGGUAUGGAAUCUCAAGAGGGUCAUUGUUUAAAGAACAAAAGAAAGACUCCAUUCAACUCAUUAGUAAAUAUUCUCUCAAUUCAUACAGGAAAGGUACAAAGGUAGUUCCAGAUCAGCUUUGCCUUUAGUCCUUAUGUCCUUUGCUGCUCAUAGACCUUUUCUGGCUCUCUACACCCAAGGCCAUCUGUUACAGUGGCACUAUUCCCAUUAGAAACCUUCUCUCCAUUGUCUUUCUCUUUCUCUCUCUCUCCCUUCCUCCUUCCUUCCUUCCUUCCCUCCCUUUCUUCCUUUUCUUCCUCCCUUCCUCCCUCCCUCUCUUCCUUCCCUCCUUCCCUCCUUCCUCCCUUCCUUCCUCCUUUUCUUCUUUCCUUCCUCCCUCCCUUCCUUCUCUACUUCCUUCCCUCCUCCCUUCCUUCCUUCCCUCCUUUCUUCCUUCCUCCCUCCCUUUCUCCCUUCCUCCCUCCUUCCUCCCUUCCUUCCUUUUUUCUUUUUUUUAAUUGCAUUUUAGGUUUUGGGGUACAUGUGAAGAACAUGGAAGAUUGUUGCAUAGGUACACACGUGGCAGUGUGAUUUGCUGCCUUCCUCUCCUUCACCUAUAUCUGGCAUUUCUCCCCAUGCUAUCUCUCCCCAACUCCCCACCCCGACGCUGUCCCUCCACUAUUUCCCCACAACAGACCUCAGUGUGUGGUGCUCCCCUCCCUGUGUUCAUGUGUUCUCAUUGUUCAACACCCGCCUAUGAGUGAGGACAUGUGGUGUUUGCUUUUCUAUUCUCUUUUUCUUUUCUUUUCUUUUUUCCUUUUUUCUUUUCUUUCUUCCUUUCCUCCCUUUCCUUUCCUUUCUUUCAUUUCCCACCCUUCUCUUCUCUUCCCUACUUUUCCUUUCUUUCUUCCUUCCCUCCCUCCCUCCCAAACACACACACACACUCUCUCUCAUGGAAGUUAAUAAAAAAUUUUAUUUAUUUGUAUUUAAGGCUUUGAUGUGAAAUUACUAAAUUUUCCAUAAAGUAGAGCCUUUAGUUUCCAUGUUUGCAUCUAAAACUAAAAAGAAAAAUUAAAAAUUAAAAAGUGGCAGGGUUAUUCCUCUUUGGAUAUUUGAACUUCAGAUUCCUGAAGACUUCCCUUAUGUUUCCACAAUUUUAUAGCAAGGAUCUGAACUUACUCUUCUGAUAAUUCCAAAGCAAACUAUAAUGCCAUAAAGUGCAUAUUGGCAUAACAAUUGGUGCAGCCUCCAAAUUCAGCUUUAUUGGUAGGGAGAAAUGUUUUGAAACACCUCUGGUAUAUAUUUUCAUGUAAUAUUCUCUAACAUUUUCAAAAAUAUAAAAAUCAAAAAGUGAAGGCUGAACAAAUAUUCUAUAAUACUCAUACAAAAGCCUGAAAAUAAGUCAGAUUAGCAAAUUAUUAUUUUAUUCACUCAUAAAUUCUUCAAAUAGAAACAUUCUGUCAUACUUAAAAUAAUUUGUAAAACUCAAAUUUGGUUUUAUCAGAUGUAGAACUUUGAAUAGAACAUAUUCUCCUUCUCCUACCCCAUCGUGCCAUAGACACAGAAAAAUGCUCCUAAGGAUGAAAUGUCAUGUUUUGGAAACGUAUGCUGUUUACGAGGAUGUAAAUAUACUAAGUUUUAGGAGACAUCUGUUUUGCCUUUCUCAGUAUGCUGCGUAUAUUUUAAUUCCAUUAUUUCCCCCAAAUUAUUCCAAAUUUGUGAUGAUGUAUGUGCAUCUAAUUUUAAAAUUUUUACUGUCCUCUCAAAUAAGAUAUCUUUAGUAACUACAGAGGCUUACAAAAAUUGUGUUUUCAGUAUAAUGUUAACUUUAAAGUAAAAAGUUAUAUUUAAAGGCAGAGGAAAAUCAAGCCACUUGCCAUUACUUCUGCCAUAUGCCUCAAGCUAUUCCCCAUAAUAGAAGUAAAAGCUUAUUUGUUGAUAUAUUUUCUUCCCAAUAGGUGUUUUGGUUUUUUAUAAUAAUUUUUUAUCCCAAAGAAAUGAUACUAUUGUCUCUGGAAUGCCCCCGAAUGUUUCCAUUGUAGUAUGAGAAAAUUAUUAUAAGUUAAAAGUGCUUACAGAAAGAUUUUUCACGAGGCUAAUAAUUUUGUUCAUUACAGAUUCAGUCCUAUAGUUCUGGUCCAUAGAAUGGUGUGGUGUGCUGGUGUGAUUGCUUUUGAGUCAGUAUAAAUUAGCAACUUUAGUAUUAUUCAGGUCAUCUUAAGAAAACUGGGCAGAAUAAAGAAUUGAGAAUGUAAAAGAAGCUGUUUAAAAAUGAAUAGUUAGGUUUAAAACUUCCAUUUAGUAAACAAUUUUUUACCCUAAAAUGAAAAAUAUAGAAGAUUUUUGAAAUGGUCUGGCCAAAAUCACUUUUCUGUUCUAUGUGAAAAUAAAAGCUAAAAAUAGAUUGAAGUAUAAUGUAUUUUUAUGGUUUUUUUUUCUCCAGAAUGACAGGAUUUAUCUGUAAAUCUCAUUAUUUAAAAUACGCCUCCCUGUAGUUAGUUAUUAGGCAUAAGGAGAAACUAAUAGGAUUGUUCAAGUCGGUCAGUAAGUUUGAAGGUAUUUUGGGGAUGCUUAGUCUUUUAGGUGACUAUAUAAUUCAAUUUGUUGUUUACUAGUCAGAAUUUCUUCUUUUGAACAAUAAGAAGAAAUCCAAUGCAACGUUAAGAAGUGCAAUUUUAGGUACAAUAUAAUGACCGCAGAUUACAGUGUAAAUCAGUGUCUCACAGAGAAAGUGGAACUGAAAGAUAAAAUAGGAGAUGACAUGGCAAUGAAAUGAUUAUCAGCUUUUUAGACAUUGAUAUAAACUGAAUUUAAUGAAAGCAAAAUAAAUGUUGGAAAAAAGACUCUGAGUUAUUUUGCUAUUUUUAAUGCUCUUUCUAAUGAUAUCUUUUGGGGACAAUAUCUUCUAGCUAAAAUUACUUCAAUAAAAAAAAAAAAAUCCAAGAAUGCUAAAACAUUUUCCCGUAAGAACAUUCUAAUUGGCAGCCUCUUAACUGUUAGCAAAAAAAGCUUUUGUAUUUUUAAAAAAUUGGCUGUGAAACAAACUUUCCAUUUGCUGAGUUUUUAAAAUAAAUAUCAAUAUUUACAUUAAUGUGACUAAUUUUUGGAUAAACACAUCUCUAUAGUAUAUACAUCCAAAUGCUGUUUGCCCCUCAGAGUUAAAUGCCUUGAAAGAUAGCACCAUAAGCCAGGGAAUCUGCCACUGAUCACAGUGUUUUUAGGAGUUGCCAUUAAGUGGAACCAUUUAUUUUUUUAACCCCACUCUUCAAAAUACUCACACAAGUCAACUUUCCAUCCUUUGAGAAUGAUUCAAGUUUCAAAAAUAGCUUUAGAAACUCUUAAUGUGGCAAAACAUGGUUUAUAUAGUAGUUUAUCAGGUUGGUCCACAAGAAUUGGAAUUUUAAAACUCAUAUGGAUUUUAAUCUGGGGUAAGUGAGAUACCUCUGAAGGUCAUUUGGGUGAACACAACCAUAUUAGCUGGAUAUUUGUCCUGAGCACCUAGGACAAUACUAGAAAAGUAAUGAAAUGAGAAAAAUGUGUGUGUGUGUGUGUGUGUGUGUGUGUGUAUAUACUUAUUAUAUAAUUGCUGUUAUAUAUAAUAUACUAUUAAUAUAUAUACUAUGCCAAUGCCACUGUGUGUAUAUAUAUUUAUUAUAUAAUUGCUAUGUUAUAUAUAAUAUACUAUUAAUAUAUAUACUAUGCCAAUGCCACUGUGUGUGUGUGUUUAUAUAUAUAUAUAUAUAUUUUUUUUUUUUUUCUUUUGCCAGAACUUACCUUAUUGAGAAAAUAGUAUGCAGUUUGAAUACCUGAGUAGGGGUGAAAUCGAUUUCCAAAGAUAUGUUAUGGUAAAAACAGAAGUAGAUAAACUCAUUUCCAAGGCAGAAUUUUGUCUAACCAAGACACUAUGCUGUCUUAUCUGCUUCCUUCCACUUACCCCUUUACUAACUAAAACUAGAGACAGUUCAUUGAUAUUGUUUUGCAUGGGCCCCAAAUUAUUAUACUCUACAUGAUACUCAUAUGUCUUGAUCAACAGGGUUAAUAUAUAAAUGUUUUUAAAAAUGAAAAUCUUAUUGGAAUAAGUAUACAGUUUCUCAAAAAUAACUUUAAGGGUAAUAGAUUACAUUCAGACAUAUCAGGCAGCAAUAUAAAAUUAGCUAUUUCCACACUGUUUUUUAUGAAAUCAGGUAACUGGAGGCUAGUGGGGAAAUAAACUGAGUUGAGUUGAAUAGCUAGAUGUUGACGGGCUCUAGAGAAUCAAGGAAGAGGCAGCAAGUAGCUAUUGAGUGUCUCCUGUCUCCAGGAAAUAUGUUGGGUGCUCACGGUCCAUAGAUGAUUAAAGAACAACCUCUGACCCAAAGGAUCAUACUGUCUAACGAGAUAGGCCAAGAAAGAGAAACUGUGAUUAAAUUAUUGAUGUACCUAUUUUUCUUUUUUAGAAAAUUUUUCACAAAGAAAAAUAUGUAGCAUUGAAACUAGAAUUCUAUAUCAUCUUGGUGUACUUGCCCUUAACGUAUUACACUGUCUUAUUCUCUCCUCAUAUUAAAGGUCAACUGGCAAUAUCAGAUAUCCUGUAAGUCUCAAAAUAAAAAUAUAGAACUUAAUUUAUACUGUUUUCUUGUACAGUUUUGAAAUAAAUUCUUGGUUAAUAAAUAGAAAAUAAAAAACUGUUAAUAGAAGCAAAUACAUUAUAUACAGAGAAUAAUAUAAAGGAAGUAAGGUAGAAUUCUGUCAUUAUCUGAUAGUUUCUCCCAAAUAGCUCAAUGUUUUGAGUCUCUGUGCCAAUUUGAGUAUGUAACUCAAUAUUUCCACAGAAUAAACACUUCUGUCUUCAUCCUAUGGCUGUAUGAUGUGUUUGUUUUUUUUGUAUAGUAAUCAUCACUUAAAGCACUUAAGAUACUUAUGGGCCUAUUUAUAUUCUUAUGUCUGAAAGUUUUUGAUAACUAAGCUUAUUUUUUAAAAAUCUAUGAAUUUAUAGACCUUUUCCCAGAAGAAACUUAACUGUAUUUGCAUUUGUGUAAUUCACUCAUCCCUAAAAAGCAUUAGUUGCAUGGUUGGAAUGUUGCAGCUGUUCAACAGCUUCAAGCAACACGAAAAACUUAGUUUUAAGACAGGAAACUGGAAAGAGUAGUGUAUUUAAUUAGAGUUUCAAGGGAGAUAUUGAAAAAGCACCUAAGUUAACUUGAUCCAAGAUUAUCUAGUUAAUAGCUCACUGAUUAAAAAAUAUAAGCUGUAAAGGCACUCUAUUAUUAAUUGCAUGUAUUAAUAUUUUUGAAAACAAUUCUUCAGUUGGGCCAUUGUAUCCGUUUUUCUCUUCAUUGAUCUCUGGUAACCAUUUACGUCUAAUAAAGGAGAGAGGUUGCUUAUAAAUUAAGCCCCAACGGAAUACCUUUUAAAAGUAUAGCACAAUUACAUCAUGUAUUUACUAGAAACAAGGUAUGUUUUAGAUGGAUUAGGGGUGGUGGGAAGGGGUCCUUUCAAAAUUGUAGGUAAUACAUUCAUAAAGAUCUUUUAAAUUAAAUCAAAGUUUUCCACAGUUACCUAAUAACAUCAAAUGUGAUUUACCUUUAUCUCUGAUAUACUUUCAGCAGUCAUGUGGUACUUUUUGAAAACUUAAGCCAUUCAUUUUUCUGUACAUAUGUAAAUAUAAAAAGAAAGCAGCCCAACAGUGAAGAUUCGAAGAUAUGAAUGGAGGAAAAGUUUCUUACUGUGAAGCAACUUUCUCACUUAUCUGUCUAUCUAUGGAAACAUAUUUUAACAUAUAAUAAUUUUCAAGUAUCUUUUUAGGAGGAGAAAAUGUUGUGAAGAUUAUGAGUAGCUUAAAGUUGUUAUAAUAUCUGUAUUAUUGCUACACAUGUAAGGAAAAACAUCCUUAUGUUGGCAGAAACCUGAAGUCAUCUCCAGAUUAAGUCUUUUGUUUUCUCUUUCCUCAAUUAUGAUUUCAAUGAAUCAAGUAGUCACGUGAUCCUAUCGUUCAAGGAAUAUGCUGAUCUAUUAAUAUUUUUUAAAAGAUAAGUGCUGUGAAUUGUUAAGAAAAUACGGGGUCUUUGCCUGUUUGUUCUUUUAAAUGUAGCAUAGAGAAAAUAUUAAUUAAGUCCUCUAGAAUCAUUCUCUUUGACUAUGGAAAAUAAACAGUAGAAACUAAAAAGUUACAGAAUCCCAGGACUGUAGGAGAUAACUUAUCAGAAUCUAAAAUCAAUGUAUAUAUUUGUUAGAUAAUCCAAACAUGUCAUCAUGAUGUAUGUUUGAGCUAAACUAUUUCAUUUUUUGUAGUAUUUAUCAAGAAAUAAAUUAUUUAACUAUAAUGGAGUCUCGACUUUUGGCUGGAAGCUUUUCUCAGCCCACAGGUCACCCAUAGAAAGAACACAGUAACUUGCUGGUUACAUUCGGGAAGGCUUAGAGACCUUCUUGCAUAUUCAAGUCUAUUUAGAUUAUUCAUUCUUAAAAGAUAAAUUUUUAUAAAGACAAUUUUGGUGAAACAAUCCAUGUCAUGUGUAUCAGAACUCAGUAUCAAAAAUUGUAUAAAUUUUCAUGAAUCCUAAUAUAGCAUUUUAUGUGAUAUUAGAGCCUUGAAAAAGAACCUUUUAAUAGAGACUCAGCUUUGUAUUUAAAAAUUCUCAAGUUCUGUCAACUGAUUCAAACAUUUCUAUUUAGUGUAGAAACCUAGAAACCUAGUGUAACUACUUGUAUAUCAUACAUUAUUUUUCAAUGUUCACACAUAUUUUAUUUUGUAAUUCAUUUUUCGUUUACUAUUUUUCAUUCCUCUUCCACCAUUUUAAUUACUCAAACAUUUUUUGACUACAAAGUCAGUGCUUACUAAAAGCUCAGGGGAAAUAAAACAGUAUUAUAUACAUUGUUUCACACAGAUUGAUGUAAAAAACAUUUGGUAUCCUGUUGAUUGAAAGAACAGAUGCUUGUAUAAUUUAUGAAGCCAGAAAUACAUUCACAAUAUCCUCCCAAAAUAGUAAGGUAUUCUAAUAACCUAGUGAGGAAUACAGUCAAAGAGCUUGGGAGAUUCUAAUUUGUAGACUGUAUUUUCAAUGGAGGAUACAAACUUAAAAAGAUAUUAUCAAUAUUCUAUAAAUACAAUUACAACCACUCAUUUUCCAAUGUAACAUGAUACAAUAAUAAAAUAGCAUUUCAUUGUUUCCUAUAAAAAUUUAAAAGCCUAGCAUGUGUUUUUGUUUAUUGUACAUUUCAGCUUCCACCCACUAGCAAAUUUUAAUAAUUUUUCUAAGCAAAGGAGUCUACUUUUUUUCAUAACAAAUAUCCAUCCAGUCAAUUGUCCCAGAAAAAAUGUUUUCUCACCAAAAUUGCUUACUUUCUGUAACACACAUAUCACUCUUAUUUUUCAAAUAUUAAUUUAUUAUUAAUAAUGACAAUAAUAUAAGUAGUGUAAUUGAUAUGGUAGUGUUUAUUUGGGAUUAAUUUUAAGUUAUUUUGAAUAUCAGUUAACAUAUCUGUACUUUCUAAAAUGAAGGAUUAAUCAACUAUUAGUACAAAGUCUUGGAUCAAGGGCACUAUAUUUCUUUGCUAAAAAUAAACACUGCUCACCAUGGCAUUGGCACAAUUUGUGGAAGUCAUGGGGUUAUACUAUCACAGGAUGGAUUCUCAUGAAAAAAACACAUAGCUUCAACUAUGCUUUGAAUUUUUCAUUACAUUCAUUUCACUUGUAACUUCACACCAUCAUUGUGCUUAUUUCUAUAAAAGAAGAUCUUUUUCUAUCAAAAUUUUAAAAAGUUGAUUAUUUAAGUAACUUAUUAUUUAUAAAGAUUAGUUUUCAUAGCUCAAUAUAAUUUAUCUGCACUAUAAGCUCAUAGAUUUUGAAAAAAAUUUUGUUAUAUAUAUUUUCUCUUUCUCUGUUUUCUUUCAUUUUCUUCCUUUCUUUUUUCAUUUUUCUGGUUCAAGAAGUCCAAAUUUCAGAGCAAAUAAACAUUGAAAUAAUUUUCUAGUAGGCAAACCUCAAAAUACUAAAAAAAAAUGAAGAUUGAAAAAUUUUCAAAAAUACAACAAAAUUUAAAAACUAGUCUAAUUCUAUGUAGAGAGCCAAUAUCACACUGAUUUGAUUUAAAAUAAUUUAUAGCAUAAGCUCAAGAACAAUAAACCAUUUUGAAAAGUUAUCGGGAAUAAUUAUCUUGAAUACACUAUAGUCUUCAUAUUUUGCAUUAAUGUUGAAUAUUAAGACAGGGAUACAGUAGGUUAAUCAAGGGUUACUAACUUUAGGAGAGUUUAAGAAUUAUAACUUUCAAGUAGAUAUCAAUCCUCUUUAGAGGAACCUGUCCUGGAAGCGUUCUCCCAUCUGUCAGUCAUUACCACCUACAAGGUAAGAAAGCCACACAGCAGAGUGCUAUAUCUUACUAGGAAUAUUACUAUGGCAUCGAUUUAAAAAUAUAUAUGUUUUGAGGCUGAGAGAAAAAAACCUCUCUUUUUUUUUUUUUAGAUUUUAGAGGUGGGAAAACAAAUGUUUUUGAAGGAAGAAGCAUUAGAAUCUUAGGAGACCCUGAUUUAAUUUGGUCCCCUUAAAUAAUGGUAUCCCUUAUAAAACACCUAUUAUAAAGGAUUAUUCAUAAAUAUAUUGAACCACUGUAUAUGAGAAUCAUUUUAUUAUCUAGAUUUUAUUCAGAAAACCAAAUCUCAUGGAGGUUAUGCAAUAAUGCAAGUGACUGGGAGAUCCUGGGUUCAAUGACUCAGUUCUAUUUGCUGUAUUUACUUAUCAUAUUAUGCUGCCCAAUAAUCUACACCUUUACAUUUCUGCAAUUCACAUGCAUAGAAAAAGCUUGUGCAUACAUAGUGUGCAGGUAUACAUGCUACUGAACAAAAACAGUUUAAACCAGCAUGUGAUAAGAAGUGAUUAAUUUGAGGAAAGUAAUAUAAGCAAAAUAUGUCAAUAAAGAUCAUCAAUAAUAAGAUCAAUAAGCAAUGGGAGAUUACGAAAAUGAUAUUCGUGUUGGAGUUACAAUGAUUCUUUUUAACUUUGUUAUUACAUUAAACUCUGAAUAUUUGUGUUUGUAUGCAGUUUUUAGACAAGCAAUACACAAACAUGUAUAUCUGUAAACACUUAUGAAACCAAACCAAAAAGAUGAGUAGACAGUAAAUCUCUAAAUCUUUCCAGAGCUUAAAGCUGCUUUAAAACUUUUCAGUGUUCAGUAUGUAUCAAUUGGACGAAUUUUCCUAUGGAAAACACUUUUAAAUUGCUCAAAGUCUGUUUUGUAACAGAGACACAAUGUCAUAUGUUUCUUAUAUGUAAAUACAAUUAACACGUAUGUUAAAAACCAACCAAUUUUUUUUCAAUUACUGACAACUUUAUAAAAUACCGCAAAUGUUAUGCUGGAAACUCUUCCCUUCUCAAAAGGAAAUUCACAAGACAUUUUACAAAGUGAAUAAUGUAAAAUUAUUCCCACAGUUUUCUGGGGUGGAAAACCAGAAACGUUUCAGGCCCUUUGCUGUCAACAGGAGUAAGGGCUAUCAUUAAUUACAAAGCUAUUGGAAAUAUAUUUGUAGUCCUCUGUGGGGUGCCAGUAUUUCAGGAGUAAAAGAUACCUAAUUUGAGCCAAGCUUUGGCGUGACUUGCCCUGAUUUUCCUUCUUUCUCAAUGGAGAACCAUGUCCAAGUGCCCAGCUUGGCUCUCCAUCACAGUCAGUUUCUGACCUCUUUCGUGCUUUUGCUUUUACUACUGAAGCAGCAAGAAGCCCCCAUAAUUAUAAUUGUAAUUACCUAGAAUGAGCAUUUCUGUGAUAGGCACUGUAACUGCAUAACUGGGAAGGUAAUGGUGCCAGUGCUGAAGUAUUUCUUGAGAUUUUAUGUCCAGACAGAGAAAGAAAUCUAAGAAAAUGGAGACAGAUAUAAGAAAGGGACCUUGGGACUUAGUUAAGUCCCAAAAUACUAGUUAAGAGAGAGUUUUAUUUAUGACAGGUUUCAGAGGUAGUGUUAUCUCCUUUGGAGGAGGAGGAAACAGCAAUGACAUUUUUUUAAUGCAACAUUUUUCACUUCUUCUGUUUUGAAUAGAUUCACUUCCAUGACAUAAAAUAAAACUGACUAAACUAUAAAUCUAUUUAUGCAUCCAUGCCGCUCCCCAGAUUUUAAAACUAAGUAGAACUGAGGAUAAAAUGUGCAUGGAAGCAAAAUCUCAUUCUCUUUCAUUUGUCCAGAUCAAUGACCACAUGCCCAAUUUAGGUCAAGGCAUCAGGCAGAGGAAUGGACUAGAGACUGACGUUGAGAUGCUCUAUUUCACACACUUGCCCUCUGGAAGGACUGGCAGAGGCAGUCACUUAAAUUAAAUACAGAUCGUCAAACAAGAUAUAUAAUCUAUUCCUAAAACAGACAACUUCAGCAUCCCAAAUCCCUAUGGCUUUUUACUGAGGCGCAUUGCACUACUUUUUUUUAUGUUCCUCUGUCAAUUCAUGUUAGGGUUUGCUUUGUUUAAAAGUGGUAUUUCAUGUAUUUCGUGACCCUCUUGCACAAAGCAAAAAAAAAUGCUUUGGUUUAUUUAUGACCUACUAACCUCAAGCAAAUACUUAAUGUUCCCACAAGCCUAGGGAUGAGAAGUGAAAGCUACAAUAAAUUUGGCUUGGAUACAAAUUAGAUUGGUCUUAUACUGCCCACACAAACCUCCAAAAUUAGGAAGAAGGGGAUAAGAGAAUAUUUAUGCAUAAAUGACCCAUUGCUUGUGGCUCUUUUUAUUCAAGAAAAACUAUGCAAGAAUGCAUACUGCUAUCACCAACUUAGAAUUCUGGAAUUAUGAACAAUGUGCUCUAAGAAAAAUGCCACUGUAUACUUUCUUUCAGAAAAUGUAAAAUCUUAGUAUAUUAUAGCUAAGGAUUAAGUUGUAAAAAUAAAGAUGGAAAAGAUAUAGGAUUAGAAAAUACAAGACAGUAAUUGCAAGACCACAUGAGUUAGCAGAAAACUAAGUUGAACCAGGAAGUAGAACAACUUUUCUGUAUUGGACGAAAUAAUUUAGAAUACGGAGACUGAAGUUUACCAUCUUCUCUGACACUAAAUUUAUUGGAAGCAAGAACAUAGAGAUCCUAUUUUCCAUUGUGAAGGACUUAAACUGUUAGGACAUGAGGUUUUAUCUUCAACAAACUAUGACUAUGGUUAGCCCAAGCAAAGGAGAAAGAAUUAAUCACUUUAUUUAUCAUUGCUAUUUCAUGUGUAAAUAACAAGACAUUUAAUGUAACUUACAUUGUUACAAGUGAAUCAUUGUAAGAUUUUUAAAUUUUAAAAUUAAAUUAAUGAUAUUUAAGGUGUUUUUUCUAAAAAUAUAAAAAUUUAGCUUUAAGUUAAUUAUAGUCUUCCAUAGACUUCUAGGAAAAUAUUCUGGAAAACAAAAGAAAACUAGUUACGUAUUGUAAUUAUUUGUAACUGACCUAGAGCUUUGCUUACUGGUAGGCCAAAUGCAUUUUGUGUUAAGGCAAAAUACAUGGUUUAGAGUCGUUUAUCACAACAUCCCCAUUAUACAAAUGUUAGCAGAUGUAGCAAGAGAUGAAUAGGCAUGAUUGAAAACAGUUGUAUAUUGACCUGACAAAUAUACCACAAUAGGCAGGCAACAGAACAAGAGUGAUAUGCUUUCAGUCGUAAUUGAUAAUGCAACAAAUGAAUCCUAAGUCCCAUGAUAAUAUUCUUUCCAGCAGCCACACAGAAAUGCCUACCGACAAAGCAUUCUUCUAGAGUAUUAUUCUGAGGGAGAAAUUUGCUUCUUUCAAAAAAAAUUAAACACGGAAAAAUUCAGAUACAUCCCUGUUUCAUAUUCUAUGACUAUUUGUCACUUCAAAGCUUACUACCAGUUGAGCACUAGCCCCUUUCUCUCAAAAAAAUCUGUUAAAGUUUCCAUGUAAACAAUUUGUCUAAAAUUAUUAAACAAUUAUUAGCUUUAAAAUAUUCUAAGUGACUAAAAUGUCAGAAUGUAGAAAAAUUUGGAAUGUGUAUUCACUAACAUUUCAAAAUAAUUGCCUGGACUUGAAUAAUUAUGAUCACCUUCAAAGUAGCAUUCCAAAUUAUUGUGGGUUAGCCUCCUACAGAUAAUUACUCCAUAACCAUAUUAGAUGCAAGUUAAAUGGAUGAAACAAUGACUUUCUAUUCUGGAUUUGAUACAUCCAAGGUGACUUUUGUUUUAAUUGAUGGUAGAAAAAUUAUUGAAAAUGGUUCUAAAUAUAAAUUCAGUAGAGUUCAUAAUUUUAAAAUAAGCAUUAAUGAUAAAAACACUUAGAAAAUAAGACUAUGAAAAGGAUCCCUCACUCGUCUACCCAUAAAGACAUGUUAGAAGAUGUUAGCUGUUAUUUAAAAUAAUUGAAAUGAAUGGUUUUGUAGCAUACAUAGAUUGUCUUUACCUUUCACUGUAUUAAUGAAGUCUUUGUGCCAUAAGCUAAGAAAAAUGAAUUGAGCUGGUAUCUUCACUUAAAAUUUGUUCAGUAUUUUCUAAAGAAGAUUAUUCUUAGGAAAUUAUACUAAUUUUAAAACCUUAUUUUAAAAUAAAAUAUAUUAAAUAUUUAAUGUAAAUGUAAAUAAUAGCAUCAACACUAAUUUAGUUUGAGGAAAUCUAAGGUAAUUCUGCUUAAUUUUGUAUAAGCUACAUACAUAAAUGCUUACCUCUUGUAAGCAUAACAAUAUUUAAAUUAUAAGAUAUUGUUUGGAUUUGAUACCCCAAAGCACUUUGAAUAACAAAUUCUCCCUGUCUUUAACAGUGAGAUAAUUUCAUCUCUGGAACUAAGCCAAUAUAGACCUUUUUUUUUUAGCUUCAUGGAACCAAUCCUUUUCUCUCAUACAAUGUGAUGUGGAGGCUUGCCAAACUCUUCGUUGGAAGAAUCAAGCUUCUUAUUUGUCUUCUUUUGUAUUCUUUUGAAAUAGCAUAAAAAUGCAUAAAAUAUAUGAUUAAAGGUACUCUUGUUUCUGUCUCCCAUCCCCUUCAGAUACUUACAGAUACUGUAAAGUCAGCAGAAUUCUGAGUUUUGAGGUUGCUUCAGUGAACAUUCAACGCUGUCGGUGAGUUUGGAAUUAAAAUCAAAACCAUCGACCGUUGAUUGUACCCUAUGGCUAACCAUCAUCUACUCCAUGGCGCUCAGAAUUUGCUGAAGACAGGAAACCAAAGUGGGACGCACCAGGACUUUCUCUUCCCUGUGCAGAGAUUAUUUUUUAAAAGGUCACAAUCAACAUUCAUUGCUGUCGGUGGGUUGAACUGUGUGGACAAGCUCACUGAACAAUGAAUGCAACUGUGGCCCCGCUUUUUGCUGUCACAAUCAACAGAUAUUCCAUCUUUGAAAGAUGUACUCGAAGUAGUAGUAUUGUUCUCUAACUUCAGUGUCUUCAGGUUUCUUUAUUCAAUUUAGAGCCUGCAAUGAGUUUCAAUGAAAAAGGCACUGGUUUAAACACAAAUAAUACUUCUCUACCUUUUGUAUGCUAUAAACAGAGCAUGUUUAGAAAAGGCAAAACUAUUUUGUCCAUCAAACAUAUAGCAUCAUCAUCUAGGUUAGCUCACCUUCCUGCUGUUGUACUGGGAGUGAAAAGAAGACAUGAAGAAGGUCGUCCACACCCAUGUCAUCGACAGCAGCAACACUUGCAAAUAUGUGUUCUCUACAACGUCCGUUAGAUGUUCUGGUCAAAGUGGGGUAGAGAUAAGAGAUAAUUUUAUCUUUCUGCUUCUCUAGGUGAGAAUUUGCUCAUAUAAUACAUCCUCUUGCUAUGCAAUGUGCUAAAGAAGAAGAAAAUAAUAUAUACAUAACUAUGUAACUAUCAGAAUACUUAGGACAGUCAUAUAGUCGAUUGAUUUUCCCAAUUCAAUUUCAACUUUAAAACUUUACCCACUUUCCUUGUGUCUCCCUUCUAAGAACAUGAUCUGCAUGGUUAGACUUACAGUCACGGCCCAUUAAUUGCCUCAUGUUUACUCUUCUGACUUUUUAAGUGAAAGCCUAGGCAUAUCAUGGUUUUUCUUAAGUGGAUUGCCUCUACAUUUUUAUAUAGAACAUUUGUAAUUAAAUUUGAUCACAGCAGUUUUAAGUUUUCCAUUUGUAAUGGCAAUAAUUAUAUAGCAAAAUAAAAUGUUUCCUCGAGUGUGUAUGUCUGGAGUACCCAGAUGGCUUCAAUGUUCAUUUUUUUAAAAUGGUCAAAUACAUUAUCCUCUCUGUUCCUCGAUCUCUUGAAUCCCAUUUGCCUUUAACUCCCAUUACAGAAACUCAUUCCUGGGACCCAGCUCUAGAUUUCAUCAUAACCUUAAAAUAUUUAACCACGUGUGAUAUUUAAUUUCCCACUCUUUUUAUCACUUCUUACCUGGUUUCUCAUCCUCUUAUCCUCAAGGCAACUGUCCUCUCAGUGUCAGUGUUGCUGAAAAAUAAAAUCACAUAAUCACAUGGACACAUUAGUACCCAUACUCAGAGGCCUCCAAAUGCCUUGUUCCCUCCACUCUGACCUAGUAUUUCUUCUUCUCCACUCCCUGGCACUUAGCUUAAGUGUCUACCUCUCCUUAACUGCUCCGUUCCACGAUUCCACUUUCAACAAAUGAACUGACUUCUCCUUUUCAUUGAGAAGCUUGAGUCCAUCUGAUUAUUCUCUCUGCUUCCUUAUGUAUAGCCUGUGAAGGCAUAGGAUUCUGCCCUGAGUUAUCUCACGUGAGCCUCCUGUCUUGCUCAGGACGUCUCUUCCCCGUGAUAUCCCCCUCCUCUCUCACCAUGUGACUCUUUCCAUUUCACAUGCAACAAGUUUCCAUUUCCUCUCCUGUCAAAUAGAAAACAAAGGAAAUUUGAGAAAAUCCUUCUCUAUACUUGCUUUAUCCUCAAGUUACUUACCCCACUUGUUUUUGUCUUUUUAAAAGUUAAGAUUUUAGAACUAGUAUGCAGUAGCCUGCAGCAUUGUCCUUAUUUGCUUACUUCCCAUUUCACCUCAACUGUAUGUAAUUUGGCAUCUUCUAGUAUGUCUCUUUCCCACUUUUGCAUAACAUCAUUCUAAUGACACUGCUUUUCACCAAAUCACCAGUGAGCUCCAAAUUGGCAAAUACAAAUCGAAGUUUUCUGCCAGUUAUCCCACUUGAACUCCUCUCGAUGUCUGACACUAUGACCACUUCUUCCUGAACUUCAGUCUCCAUUCACUUUUAUGAUCCUACUCUCAUUUGGCUUUCUCUCUUUAUUACAGUAAUAUCCUAUUUAUUUAUUUAAGAAUCUCUUAAUCUGCAUAAACUCCCAAUGCCCGUAUCCUUCUGAGACACAUCCUUAGCUUUCCGGCUUUCUUCUCUUCUCUUGUCUCACAAUCUUUGAAGGAAUCUCAGGCACGUGAAUGAUGUUUAUAUCUGCUCAGAUGUGCUGGUACCCAAGUCUUUAGCUAUAGCUUAGACAUCCCAAACCUAUAUAGCUGUCUUCUGCUCCUCUCAUAGACCCAAGCCCAUCCAUGACUGCGGAUAACUUACCGUCUUUUUCCCAAGGGAUACACCCUUGAUCUACUUAGCCUCCAAAGCCAUAAAUCUUGAUUCAUCUCAUGUUCCUGAACGUUGCUUCCUCUCCUUUUCCAAACAUAAUCGCACAGUCCUGAAGAUUUCUUAUCCUGCUUACAUUUCAAUUAUUCUGUAUACCACUGAACCUUAGCCCAGAAAUGCACAAUUCUUACUUGGACUAUUCCAGUAGUUCCAAACUCCCUACCAACAGCCAGCCAUCUGUUCAAUAUUUUCUUCACAGUAUUUUUAAAAAGUGAUUUUUAAAAAGGUAAUCAUAUUGUGAAACCCUUGAAUGCACCUGGAAUAAAAUGUUUAAUAGAUUUUUAAUUUAAAACAAGAAUAAUUUUUAAAACUGCCAAAUAUAAAUCAAUAAUAUUCACAGCACCUUUCCUAAUUUUUAUAAUCAUUCUGAUAGAAAAGGUGUUGUGAGUAUUAGCUAAAUGAGGAAAAAGUAACAUCUAAAAAGUUACCUAAAUGAGAAAAAUUAAUAUCUGGAACUUCACAUAAUUUCUCAAGCUUAAUUUCAGUAUUUUAAGGAAUUAAAUGUAAUUUUUGAAAAUUUUCUAAAAUAAACACAGUUGAAGAUUUAAUAACCUUGAAAUGGUGAAGAAUAUUUUGAAUUUUAACACAAACAGAGCAAAAAGAAAAGACAAAAGAAUAUAUGGCUUUGACUACAUUAAACUUAAAAGUGUAAUGUGUCAAAAAUCAUCAUAUAAUGAAAAGGCAGAUGGCCAAAUGAAAAAGAAUAUAAACAAUAAGUAAGAAAAAGAUUGAUACACUUAAUAUAUUAUGUUUUUAAUAUAGAAAGAGCAGUAAGAAAAAGUUAACAACUAAAGAGACAAAUGAAUAGUGGACAUGAACAGAGCGGUCACAGAUGUAAAGCAAAUGAGUGAGACAUACAUGAUGCAAAAUUAUGCUUUACUUACAAAAAUUCAAACUUAAAACCAUGAGAUGUCAUAUUUCUUUAGUAAAGCUGACUGAUGAAGAAAAUCUAGUGAUAGUAACAUGACUGUUCUCAUACUAUACUAGAUAUGACUGUCUUUGGUUUCUGCUCAAGCUUCUGGGCUUGAUUUUUCCUGUUGUAUUCGUUUCUUUUUUGAGCAUGGAAACACACCCUUCCAACUAAUGGCAAAUGGGAUCAGAAGUUCACACCUGUGCCAAAGAGACCUGAUCCAUCCAUUUGACUGAAACUUUUAUAUUUUCAUUCUUGUGAAUUUGAAUUCAAAUAAACUUAAAUCCUUCAAAUGUAGAAGGUUAGUACAAGAUGUAUAAUUUCAUGAAGCUUUGGAAUAGAUUAACAUUUUACUUUGUUUCUGUGUAAAUGAAGUAAAUAAAAACGGAAGAUGGUCAGUGAGGAGCAGCUACAUGAAAUCAACAUGAGAUGUUUUGCAGUUCCCGGAGAGAUGGAUGAAAAAGCUUUAGUCCAGAAAGCUCCAGGUCCAGAAACCAUUUUCCCAGCCAUCUUAGUUCUGUUUUUUUUUUUUAAAUUAUUAUUUCUUGAUGGCUGUUUUGGGUAUCCAUAAUAAUUUUAAUGGCUUGAAAUAAGUCCUGUUUUAUUCAGCUAAGAAUGUUUUCUGUUCUUUGCCUUCAUAACUACACAAUGCUCAUGAGAGUAUGAUCUGAUGUAAACUUUAUGGAAACAAUUUCAUCAAUAAUUUAGCAAUGCUUAUAGACUUUUAAUCAAUAAUUGUAUUUCUAGAAUUCUCAUAUACAUAUUUAUUUUUAAUAGACUAAUACUAAUUAUGUAUGUUUGUGGGAUACAAUGUGAGGGUUUUUGUUUUUUGUGUUUUUUGAGGAGUUUGGUUCUUAUUGCUCGGGCUGGAGUGAGAUGGCACAAUCUUGGCUCACUGCAACCUCCGCUCCCUGGGUUCAAGUGAUUCUCCUGCCUCAGCCUCUAGUAACUGAGAUUACAGGCACCUGCCACCAUGCCUGGCUAAUUUUUGUAUUUUUAGUAUAGACAGGGUUUCACCAUGUUGGCCAGGCUGGUCUCAAAAUCCACAAUGUGAUGUUUAGAUCUAUUAAUAUAUUGUAGAAAAAUUACAUCAAAUAAUUAACAUAUGUACCAUCUCAAGAAUUUAUCAUUUUUUGAUAGUGAGAAUGUUAAGAAUCUAUUCUUUUUGGUGAUUUUGAAAUAUACAACACAUUAUUAACUGUGGUCUCCAUGAGAUAUAAUAGAAUCACCAAAACUUAUUCCUCUAGUCUAACUAAAACUUUGCAAACUUUAAUAAACAUGUCUCCUUUCUCUGUUCCUCUUCCACUCUCCCAACCUCCAGUAACCACAUUUUUAUUCUCUGUUUCUAUGAAAUUCCAUUUUUUUUUAGAUUCUGUGUAUAAAUGAGAUCAUACAGCAUUUAUCUUUCUGUGCCUCCCUUAUUUCACUUACAUAAUGUCCUCCAGUUUCAUGUAUGUUGUCAGGAAUAACAGAAUUCCCUUCCUUUUUAAGAAUAAAUAACUUUCCAUGGUUUAUAUAUACCACAUUUAUUUUCAUCCAUUCAUCUAUUGAACACUGAAGUUGCUUCCAUGUUAGUUAUUGGGAAUAAAGUUGGAGUGAACAUGAGAUUGUAGAUGUCUCUUUGACAAGCCAAUUUUCAGUUCCUUUGGAUGUAUACCCAGAAGUGAGAUUGCUGGUUCAUAUGGUGAUUUUCUUUUUAGUAUUUUGAGGAACCUCUAUACUAUUUUCCAAAAUAUUUAUACUAAUUAUUUACAUGCCCAUCAACAGUAUACAAGGGCUCUCUUUUUCUCUACAUCCUCACCAACACUUCUCAUUUGUUCUUGUUUCCUUGGUAAUGGUCAUUUUAACAGGUAUGAUGUGAUAUCUCAAAGUAGUUUAAAUUUGCAUUUACCUUCUGAUAAGAGAUGUUGAACAUUUUUCUUGUGUAUUUUGGCCAUUUGUAUAUCUUCUUUUGGGAAAUGUUUGCUGAAAUCCUUUAUCCAUUUUUGAAUCAGUUGUUUCUUUUCUUUCUUAUUGAAUUGCUUAAAUUUGGAUGCCUUAUGGGGAUCUUAACCCCUUACCAGAUAUGUGGUUUGGAAUAUUCUCUUCUAGUCCAUGAAUUAUCUCUUCACUGUGAUAAUUGUUUCCUUUGCUGUAGAAAAACAUCUUAAUUUAAUGCCAUUCCACUUGUCUGUUUUUGUUUUUGUUGUUUGUGCUUUUGGAAUCCUAGCCAAGAAAUCAUUGCCCAGACCAAUGUUGUGAAGAUUUUCUCUCUUCUAAAAGUUCUAGUUACAGGUUUUAUAUUAAAAGUCCUUUAUCCAUUUUGAGUUGACAAGAGUGUGUGGUAUGAGAUAAGCGUCCAAUUUUAUUCUUCUGCAAGUGGCUGUCCACUAUUCCCAACACCAUUUCUUGAAGUAAUUGCCUUUCCCCCAUUGUGUGUUCUUGGUACCUUUGUUAACAAUCGAUUAACCAUAAGUAGUCGGGUUUAAUACUGGACUUGCUUGUUUCUUUGGAUGAUGUUUCUGUUUUAUGCCAGUAUGAUGCUGUUUUGAUUGCAAUAGUUUUAUGAUACAUAUUGAAAUUAGGAAGUGUGAUGUUUUUAAAUGUAUGUAUGUAUGAAGAGAUUCAAAGCAGCAUUAUUUUAAAAAAUUUGAUUAUAGCAAGCUAAACGUUCAAAAAUGAGGAUUGGGGCAAUUUAUUACAACAUAUCUUAUGAUGGAAAAUAAUAAUAACUACAUUUUAAUUUAAAAAUCCUGCUUAUAAUUAAGUAGAAAGUUCUCAGAACUUAGAGGAUUAAAUUCCAGCUUACUAGAAGAGUAAUCAUGGGAAAAUUAAUUUUCCUAAGCUUCAAUUUUUUCAGCUAUAUAAUUUGUAUAAUAUUCCCUACCAGAUAUUAUUGUGCUAAGGAUAAAUGGAAUAAUUUAUGCAAUGACUUUAGCAUAGUACCUGACACUUAGUAAAUAUUUAGUAGUAGUACUAGUACUAGGAGUAGUAAACUCUAUCCCUAUAUAUGAUGGUACCGCAUUAUGUAACAAGUUAUUAUUUUUCUUUAACUCUUAGUCCUGAAAUUUUGACCAUUUUCUAUCAUAUCCAUUAUAUCUUCUACAUUGCUGAUAUAAAAACGUGUUACUUACAUUCUGUUAGAUAAUGGUAAGCCACUAAAUUAUUUUUAUUUAAAAAAUGUCUUUCUCAUUAAAUUCCAAAUGUAUUUGCUUAUUAAAUAAAAGCCCUCUAGAGUACUUGAAAUCUAAUUCAUACUAGCCACAGGGCAUUGAUGGCAACAUUUAAAAUUAUUAAAUGUUAUAAAGCAUGCAUUUAUUUAAACAUCAGCAGCACACACACUCAGCAUGAUACAAUGCUUUAUAAAAGUGCUUUAUUUAACUGUAUUCUCAUUUUAAAUCUGAACAUACACUCAGUUCCAAAAUUUUAAGGUAAAUAAACAUAAGUAAGAAUGAGUUCGUUUGAAAUAUUAAGUCAAUUAUGUACUCUUAUCUUUUACAUUUCCUCUGAAGGAAUUUGAGUGCUUGACAGUUAAAUAAUAUAAAGUUCAUUGAUAACAAUUCCAUUUUGUAGUAUACUUUUCAUGUACACUGACUUGAAUUCAUAACAUAAAAAAAUUAAAAUGUUUAAUUGACUUCUCAUUUGACUUUGAAUGUUGCCCUUGACUUUUCAUAAUGUACAUAUGCUAUUAUUACAUGAAAUUAAUAAUAUAUUAUUAUUUCUCUAACUAGAUCAGUUAUAAACUCUAUUCAUUUUUGAACAAAAGAUAAGAAGGAUCAAGUUAUAACUCACACUCUAGGAUCUGCUUUUAAGUAAUAUUAGGCAGUCAUUGCCCAAUGGUAGCAUCAAGAUAUCAUAAGAAAGGUAUAUAAAAAAUUAAAAUGUAUUUUAAAUAUUUAAAUGAAUUAUUAUAGGUGGGUAUGUUUUAUCAAUAAUCUUUAUUUUCCAGAGAGUCUGAAAAGAAGGGAUACUCUAAUUGCCACUUGUGAUUUCCUUUCAAGACCAGUCAUUAGCAAACUUGUUUAGUUAAAAAUUUCUCUUAAUUUCUGUCUAGAUUUUAUCUGAGAAAAAUUUAUUUAAAUUUUCUCCAUUUUUUUAUUUUGUUUUAAGCUGACAACAUAUACCUCAUUAAUGUUUGAAAAGACUCUAAAUCUUGGUUCAAAAAAAAUUACAGCACAAGUUGUUCUUCACUUUUUAUUUAUAUAUUUUUGAGACAGAGUCUCACUCUGUUGCGCAGGCUGGAGUGCAAUGGUGAGAUCUCCACUUAGUGCCAUCUCCACCUCUUGGGUUCAAUCAAUUUUCCUGCUUCAGCCUCCUAAGAAAAUAGCUGGGAUUACAGGCAUGUGCCACCAUGCCCGGCUAAUUCUGUAUUUUUAGUAGAGACAGGGUUUCACUGUGUUGGCCAGGCUGGUCUCAAACUCUUAAUGUCAGGUUAUCUGCCUUCCUCAGCCUUCCAAAUUGCUGGGAUUACAGGCUUGAGCCACUGUUCCCUGGACUAUUCUUCACUUUUGAUCAAUUUGCAAAAUAAAGUUAAAUGGGAUUAUUAUUUACUUUAUUGAAUUCACACAAUGAUAUGGCUGCAUGGUCUCCUUUCAUCCUCACAAGAACCAUUUGAAAAAGGAAAUCCUGUUUUAAAGAUGAGAACAAGAUAAUAAUAAUAUGCCUGAUGCCACAGAACUGUUAGAGUGAUGGCUCUACGCUAUAAUAUCUACUUUACAUUCAACUUUUGAGAACUUAGUUUGUAAUGAAUAGCUGUUUCUAAGAAAAGAAGAAUAGUGUAUUCUUUUAAAAACAAUAGCUAAGGUUUACUUAUUUUUCACUGUGAUUUAGGGCAUUAUAAACAUGUGACCUAAGAACAAAGUUUAUAUUCUCAGACUACAUAUUUGAAAACAAGACAUACCAAUUUAGAAAGAAAUUUCUACAAGUCAGAGGCUUUACCUGCUUUGUUUGCUGCUCUAAACCUGGCAACAUCAACAAUGUCAAGCACACAACAGGAGCUCAAUAAAUAUUAGUUGAAUGAAUGAGUCAAGAAUGUAUCUAUUCAUAAAGCAUAUAAUACAAUGUUUUAGGUCCAAUGCUGUGAGUCAAAGUUACGUUGUGGGUGUCUCAGAAAACUACAUACAAAAUCAUGGCAUUUAUUUCUUGUGGAGUCAUAGUAUUUACUUAUAUAUUUACCAUAUGUGAAUUUACCUACUAUAUUUCUUCCUUCAUUAUAGAAGUAAUUAAUUUCUUCUAAGUAAUUAAUUACUUCCUAGCUAAGAAGUAAUGUCAAGACAAACCAUCAUUGAAUGAAGUAGAGACAGAAAGAAAGAAAAAGAAAUAAAGAAAGAAAAGAAAGGAAAUAAAGAGAAAGAAACAGAAGGAAGGAAAGAAGGAAGGAAGGAAGGAAGGAAAUCCUCACCAUAAUAAUCAUAAAAUGCCUUGAAUAAUAAGACACAUCUUAGUUGCAGAGAUGCUGGAAUAUGAAAAUACACCUUAGAGUAAAUGUAAUACAGUAUUUACCCUCAGAAUGUCAUCAGUGAUGGCUUGCAUUGUUUAUAUUAACAAGGAAUACACUGAAAUCUGAAAAAGUGAUUCAAGGAAGAAGAGAAAUGUGGAAAGAUUUUGGAAAUAAUUUUAAUUUUCUCUUUACCAUUUGGCACAAAUGAAAUGAAUUGUUUAACUUUACAACUAUUUUAGGGACAUUCAAGGGUUAUUUUAGUUGUAUGUGAUUUUUGUCCUAUGCAUCGAUCAUAAAAUCGAAGUUUCUCCUUGUCGUUCAUGUUAGAAUAACUUCUAGGUAAAAUGGAUUUUUCUUAAUUUCUACAACUAUAAAUUAUAGCUAGUUAGAAAGAGUAGCAUUUAUGCUGUAGACAUAUUUGUGUUUUUCCCAAUUAUUUAUUUUACUUUACUCGUUACCAUCACAAUCGAAUACAAUUUUAAAUGGUUUUAAUCACAUUUUCAAGUCCAUUUAUUCUUCCUGCUCCUUCUAAGAAAGCUAAUUGUGAAUAUGCUGAGUUGCUUAAACAGCCCCUCACCAAGCAAAUAUUCCUGAAAAAUCAACACCAAGUAAUGGGAAUAAAAGAUUCUCUGUAUUCACUGCCCGAGUCUCCCUAAACCCUGGACAGACAGCUUGGACUGGUGGACAUUAAGCCUUAGCUAGUGGCGCCAAAUCCCACAAAGCCAUUUUUAAGAUGCCUGGGUUACACUAUCAAUCCUCUUACCUUAGGCAACCCCCUCCUGCUGGUUAAGUGCUACCACAUGGUUUACAACUGCAGGAAGGGAUAUGGUUUACAAAUUAAAAUUAGAUGCAGAAUUAAACUGCUUGAACACAGCAAAAUAGAAGGGUAGUGGAUGGGGUGGAGAGGGCGAUUUGAGUAUGCCAAUGCUCACACACACCUAAUUCCAAGAUUUGGAUUUCCAUGAAUUUCCAUUAGAAUUCUUAGGUUCAGCUUCUGUGUUCAUUCCUGAGAGUCAUUUUUAGAGCAGGAAACACAGACUCUGUCAAAGAAUAUGCAGCCCCAUGAAAACGCAAGUUCAAAUUAUGGACUUUACAGCCAUAAGAGAUUGCUGAGUUAAAUACCAGAGCUCCUUUAGAAAGCCAAGCAGAGUAAUUUAAUGACUACUAAUGACAUUUGUAACUUUUCAGGCUACUAUAAUAAGAGUAAUCAGAUCUCAGGCUGCAGGAUGUAACCUGAUCACCUGUGCUUUCCAGAAAAGAAUUUUCUGUACACAUCAACAGUAUUGUACAGCUGGCCAAGCAAAUUAUUGGUAAUGUCAGAAGAAAGGGGAGGACAGAUAGCCUUUCUCCAAAUCAUUAAAUUCCUUUUGCAACUGGUAAGCACAUACUAAUAUAGCAAUUAAGAUAGAUUCAUCUGUAUUAUAUCAAAAAUACCAGCCAUUGCCCCCAAAUCUAAGAACUAAACAACUAGAAAAGAAAAAAGUAAGUUCACAACAUGUACUUUUCUGGUUUUUAAUAUGAAGUCAUGAAAUCAAAAGUUAUUUAUUUAUUCACUCAACAAUUAUGUGCUGGGAGGCCAUUUAUUUAACGGCAGGCUGCUAAGUGUUGGGGGAGAUGCCAUGAUAAGCACAUACUUACUACUUCCUGAAAGCUUGAAGUCUAGUGGCAGAGAAAGAUAUCAAUCACACAGUUACCUAGAGAAAGGCCUCUUAAGUAAGGGUCUAGAGAAUAAAAGGAACUGGGAAAAGUUACAGAUUUUUACAUGCUAGACCGGGAAAUUCUUGGUAAUGUUCUAAUUAAGAAUUGAAAAGCAGCUCUCUAGUUAAGUUGAAUGAGUCUGAGGUCUAUACAUGGUUGGAUAAAACAAAUCUUAGUUUAUUGUUUGGUAAAGAAUCUUCACUUAGGUCCAGUAAAGGUUUGGUGUACUCAGGUUAUUCAGAGUUCACGGUCUUUUGGCCAAGUGUGAUGGCUCACGCCUGUGAUCUCAGGACUCCGAGAGGUCAAGUAGGGAGGAUCACCUGAGAUCAGGUUCAAGACCAGCCUGACCAAUAUAGUGAAACCCCAUCUCUACUAAAAGUACAAAAACAACAACAACAACAACAAAAGAUGGUGUGGUAGUGUACGGCUGUAAUCUCAGCUACUAGAGAGGCUGAGGCAGGAGAAUCACUGGAAUCUAGGAGGCAGAGGCUGCAGUGAGCCAAGCUCAUCCUACAGCACUCCAUCCUAGGUAACAAAACGAAACUCUAUCUCAAAAAAGAAAAAUUCAUAGUCUUUUAUGCGCUUCAACUGGUUAGAACCAGUUGUGAUUAAUUUAGUUUUGAGACCUCCUAGGCAGGUGCUGCAUUCGUGGAAAAUUUUCCACUUAACAGAUGUAAAUGGCAACUAUGUUAACUGGUGAAGAAGUUAGGGGUAUGGACUGAGGGUAAGGAGACAAAGAGCAUCCCAGGCCGAGAAAAUCACAGGUGCAGACACAAUACGGAAAAAAGAAAGGCAGCUCAGGGAGAGCAUAGAGACCCAUAUGAUUUGGCUAGAACAGAGCCUGCAAGGAAGCUGCUGUUACACAAGGCUGAGGAGGUGGUCUAUGCCAAAGCCACACAGAAAUACAUCAGCAAUGUUAACAUUUCCUCUGCUAUCUUAAGAGCAAUAGGAAUCCAGUGAAAGAUCCUUAAACAUGUGAUAGAAGCAAAGGUUGAAAGGUAGAGGAUGAUCUGGUUUAUGUUUCAAAAAGUUCACUCUGGGACCGUGUGAAUGUGGAACUAACAGGGUUUACUAGUUGAGCUGCUUAUACAACAUUUAGGAGGCAAUUAUUAUUACCCAGAAAAGAGAUGGUGGAAUUCAAAACCGAUGGUUCCAAUGGACUGCCUGAUUUUAACAGUGAAAGAGAGAGUGUCAAGGGAGAUUAUGAUGAAGGUGACCAAAUGUCAAACUGCACAAUAAUUCAAAAACCUAACAUUUAACCCUUGAUCCAAAGCUUUCCUGUCUUAAAGAUGGUGAUUGGCAACCUCUAAGAUAGGCCCCAGUGAAAUCCCCUCCCUUUGAGUGUGGGCUGGACCUAAAAUGCAGCAGAGGUGAUGGGGGCACUCCCAAGGUUAGGUUACAAAAAAAAAAGUGGUUUAUAUCUUGGUUGUUCUCUUUUACUUACCCUUGAUCACUCUCUGUGAGGACAACCAGUGGCUGUGUCAUGAAGCAGAUUUUGUAGGGGCCCAUAUGGCAAGGGAUGGAGGCCAGCCAACAGCCAUGUGAAUGAGCUAGCAAGCAGACCCUCCCCUACUCAAAUCUUGAGAUGACUGAAACUUGGACCAAAAUCUUGAUUACAAGCCUUAUGAGAGAUCCUGAGCCAGGAGAAGCCCAGCCAAGCCACGUCACAUUCCUGACCCAUAGACAUGGUGAGGUGAGGAGCCUUUGUUCUUUUAAGCUGCUAAGAUUCAGGGUGAUUUGUUACACAGCAAUAGAUGACUGACUCUGAGAGCUUGCUGGCUAAGCAAAGAGUUUGUCCCCCCGCUUUUUUUUUUGUCACUGUCACUAUAUAUUUUUAUAUGUCCAGAUGCAGCUCUUUACUCUUUUUCACUAUAUUAUUCGUUUUCGCUUUUCUUACUAAAUUAUUUAUUAAAGUGUUAUUUUACAGCAAUCAGUAUACAGAUAGCUAUACUAGAACAUUCAAAUGAUUUCAGCUUCAAUGGUUUAGAGAUUGAUAACGAAAAAAGAAUUGAGACAAAAUGUCUUUGUAAAGGUAUCUGCUUCCAUAAAUUUGGCACCUUUAAAGAAUGGAGAAGCUCGAAUGCAAUAUAUUUAUCUUCUCUGUUUCAUUCAUUUUCAGUAAAAACUCUGGUUAUAUUGAUUAUAACUACCUUUAAGCAGGGCACAGUGGGUCAUGCCUGUAAUCCCAGCAUUUUGGGAGGCCGAGGCAGGUGAAUCAUCUGAGCUCAGGAGUACGAGACCAGCCUGGCCAACAUGGUAAAACUGCUUCUCUACCAAAACUACAAACACUAGGAGUGUGUGGUGAUGCAUGCCUGUAAUCUCAGCUGCUAGGGAGACUGAGGCACAGGAAUUGCUUGAACCCAGGAGGCAGUGGUCUCAGUGAGCCACAAUGGCACCACUGCACUCCAACCUGGGGAACUGAGAGAGACUCUGUCCUCCCUCACAAAAAAGUAACUGCUUUCAGAUUACUGUUGUGAUUAUGUAAUGAUAAGAGAAAGAGUUUUGAUGCAUCUCAUUCGUCAUAUUUGGCUGCUACUAAAUAAGAAUGCACAAUGGCUAUACAGAAGGUAUGAAAUUAUUUCCAUGAAAACUUUGCACCCUGGAUACACCAGAGCCUCAGUCUUCAGAAUUCCCUCCCCAUCUCUACCUUCCCCAGAGUGUUUCUGAAGGGUGCCAGGAGACUUUACAAACCCAGUUAACCUGCACACUGCACUAGCCAUUUUCUCCAUUUGUCUUUUCUUUUGAAUUAUAACUGUUCCCAUUUAGCAUCACCGUUCUUUUGACUGCAUGUAAUCACAGCCAGCCGGCACUGCUUUCUCCUGCAGGCAGAGCAAUCUCACUGGGAAACAACAACGUGGCUGCCAAGAUCUGCCAUUUCUGGGUCCCCUCACUCCCCUGGAGUGCUGAUUCAAACUGCCAGAGCUUCGCCAUGUAGAGAAUUAGGAAUUUCUUUCAUUUGUCAAGUUAACACUCUGGUAAAAUUACAUUUCCCCCCAAUAUUAUAUAAAGUUUUAACAGAGUGAUUCUAUUUAUUUAGGAAAUCAAGCAUAAAUCCAUAAGAUGGAACGAACAGACCCAUCUACAGGCCAAGCACCUUGCUAAAUUGAAAUCAGCCCCUUAUUUUGACUAAGGUUUCAUGAUUGGGCUAAAUCUAAAUACAUUUGUUUUUGUUUUCUUUUUUCUUUUUCUUUUUUUUUUUUUUUUUUUGAGACGGAGUUUCGCUCUUGUUACCCAGGCUGGAGUGCAAUGGCGCGAUCUCGGCUCACCGCAACCUCCGCCUCCUGGGUUCAGGCAAUUCUCCUGCCUCAGCCUCCUGAGUAGCUGGGACUACAGGUACGCGCCACCAUGCCCAGCUAAUUUUUUGUAUUUUUAGUAGAGACAGGGUUUCACCAUGUUGACCAGGAUGGUCUCGAGCUCUUGACUUCGUGAUCCACCUGCCUCGGCCUCCCAAAGUUCUGGGUUUACAGGCUUGAACCACUGGUCCCGGCCUGUUUUUGUUUUCUUAGAUGAAGCUGCCUGCAUGAAGUUUAUCAAUUCUUCAUACAACAGAUUCCUGGGAAAAAUUGGCCAGAUUCAUCUAAAUCACAGCAAAGGCAACUACUUGGCCUCUAACUCCAAAGCAAAAUAAUAAAUAAUAAUAUAUAUGUGAUAGUAAUAAUAUAUAUAAUAGUAAUAAUACUAAAAUAAUAACAAAAGUAAAAUAAUAAAGGCAGAACUCCAAAGUAGAAUAAUCUUCUGUCUAUUCUUUAUUACUUCCUACUAACAACGGCAGCAAUAACACAUCACAAAUUUUAAAAUGUCAAAUGAUUUCACGGAAAAAACACUAGGCCCAGCACAGUGGCUCAUGCCUGUAAUCCCAGCACUUUGGAAGGCCAAAGCGGGCUGAUCAUGAGGUCAGGAGAUUGAGACCAUCCUGGCUAACACGGUGAAACUCUGUCUUUAUUAAAAAUAUGAAAAUUUAGCCGGGCAUGGUGGUACACACCUGAAGUCCCAGCUAUUUGGGAGGCUGAGGUAGGAGAAUCACUUGAACCAGGGAGGCAGAGGUUGCAGUAAGCCAAGAUUGCAUCACUGCACUCCAGCCUAGGCAACAGAGCAAGACUCCAUCUCAAAAACAAGAAAAAGGAAGAAAACACUAAAAACACUAAAUUUAAAAGUUGGAAAACGUGUCAGCCCAGUCUUACCAUAAACCACUUCUUUGAUGCAAGUCAGACUGAUAUUCUUCCAGAAUCGUAUAUGACAAUUAAUUUUCUUAUCUCCAAUUGAAGUCUCUGGAACACUUGAUCUCUAAACUCUCUUGCAACUCAAGAUCUCUACAAUUGAAUUGAGAAAAAUUUGGCAAAAUUAUAUAGCAAAAAAAUAUAUAAAUGUUAGUUAAAAACUUUGUUUUCCAUUUGUUUUUAUUGAUAUGGGAAUUUUUAAAAUGCAAAUCAAUUUUUAAUCACAUAUCUGUUUAUUCAACUAAGUUAUAAAGCAGAGGUAAAAGCAUUUGCCGAGGUGCAUUAAUGAUCAGGUUGAUCACUUUAAAAUAUAUAGCUGAGAUGAGAAAAAAAUAAAACUUCAAAUAAAAUAGAAAAUACACAUUAAGGCAAGAAAAGUAUAAAAAGUUAUGCAAGAAUGCCUGUAAUCCCAGCACUUUGGGAGGCUGGGGUGGGUGGAUCACUUGAGGUCAGGAGUUCAAGACCAGCCUAGUCAACAUGGUGAAAUCCUGCCUCUACUAAAAAUACAAAAAUUAGUUGGGUAUGGUGGUGGCCACCUGUAAUCCCAGCUACUCGGGAGGCUGAGGCAGGAGAAUAGCUUAAAUCCAAGAGGCGGAGGUUGCAGUGAGCCAAGACUGAGUCAUUACACUCCAGCCUAGGCAACAAGAGCAAAAUUCUGUCUCAAAAACAACAACAACAACAACAACAAAGGUAUGAAAGAAAGGACAAUGAGAAAAAAGGAAACAAAUGUAAUCUGGAUGUUUCCAUUUCUUUGUUCCAUUUCUAUUCUACUCUUUGAGGAAGUGAGCAGCAGGUUGUGGUUUCUUCAUGUUUUCCUUCACACUAGUAAUUCCCGAUGAGAUGUCAAUAAGAUUCCAGGCCAACUGAAAAAGAAGGGAAAUUGACAAAGACUUCUGAUUUUUCACAUUGGCCUCAAACUUAAUUUCCAAUGCUUUUAUACUAACAUAUUUUCCUAAGAGCACCCCAAAUGUAAAUAAAAUAUGCCAAAUGUUUAUGCAUGUAAGCAACCAGGAAAGACAAUUUUAUUGCUGAUUAUUUAUUUGAUCUUGUAUAGUGUUUGCAUGGGUACUAAAGGUCUCUCUGAGUAAUAGAAACACUGUGUGUCUUGUAUGAUGUUUCACUCAAUGCUGUCAGAAGGGAAUGCCAGGCAUUAGGAACACCAUGACUUUCUGAUUCCACAAGAGUAACUUAGUCCUACUUGCAAAUCUUCACUGAAAUGGUGAAAUGAAAGUAAUAGCAGAGGAAAAUUGACAAAACAGGGAAGGGUACUAUUUAUAUUCCAAAACCUUUUAAGAAUUCCUUCACUAAAUAUAGGAAAGUGAGCCUAGAUAGAGGGACAGGCUGGCAUCUGCAUAUGUUGCUGAUAAAAAUGCAAAGACUACAAUCCAGAUAAAAGAAAAUUUGGCACCACCUAACAAAAUUAUAAAUGCAAUAGCUCUUAGAUUUAGCAAUCUCACUUCUAAAAAUGGAUUCAUAAAUCUACUAGAAAAAGACAUAAAAUGACAUAUAUGUAAAAGUUAAUUGUUGUAAGAUCAUUAAAUAGAAAAAAUACUUAGAAACAACCCAAUGGCCAUCAACAGGGUACAUGAUGAAUAAAUGAUCUCACUUUCUUCUAAUAAAUCAGCAGGACAUAUAAAAAGAAAGAUGGAAAGUUACAAGUCACCAUCUAGUGAAACGGCAUGAUCUCCUGGAUGGUUUGUUAGUAUUUGGCAAGACAAACUAGAUCAGAAGACUGUAUAUUGUAUACCACCUUUGUGUGAGAAGGAGGUAGGAAUAUUAUAGAUUAGAAUAUAUUUGCAAAAACGAACACUAGAAAGAUAAAAACAAACAGGCAUGGUGGCUUGUGCCUGCAAUCCCAGAAUUUUGGGAGGCUGAGGUAGGUGCAUCACUUGAGUUCAAAAGUUCUAGACCAGCUUGGGCAACAUGGUGAAACCCUGUCUCUACCCAAAAUACAAAAAAUAGCCAGGCAUGGUAGCAUGCAUAGUUUCAACUUCCUGGGACGCUAAAGUGGGAGGAUGGAUUGAGCCCAGGAGGUAGAGGUUGCAGUGAGCUAAAAUCAUGCCACUGAACUCCAGCCUGAGUGACGGAGUCAGACCUUGUCUCAAGGGAAAAAAAAAGGAAUGACUGUCUACAGGUGAAAGGGAAAAGGGAAAAGGAAUGGAAAUCAGACUUACACAAAUCUGCCUUUUAUAUAUAUUUUCAAGCUUAUAAACAUAUAUAGUUUAUGUGUUCAAAAAUUAUGUAAUUUUUUGUAAAUUACAUAAUUUUUUGAAUAUGUAAAACAUAUUUUAACAAGCUAGAAAACAUACUCUAAAUUCAGAAAUAUUAAAGACGCAAUUUGAUAUUUGAAAUGGUUGAAGCUGCUGCAUAUCCAGUUGGUAUAUACAGAAAAAAUAAUUUCUUCAAGUGACUUUGUAUGACAUAUAAUAUUCUUAUGAUUGUGCUGCUUUUGCAGAUAUAUUCUAGGUGCACAUAGAGUCAUAAAUAAAUGUUGAAUUUCAUUCAAUGGUUUAAUUCUUUAGUAAUGUUAAAUAUAUUAUAGGAUAAUGCAAACACAACUUAGUAGUGCAUAAAAAUGUUAAUGUUAUUAGAAUUAAAAUUUUAAGUGAAAAGAGAUGCAAACAUAAGAUCACAGAAACUAAUUAAAAAUCAUGUAAUUGCUAUAUUUUAAUUAGCAAUUAUCAACAUAACCACAUCUUAAAAAACAAACAUAUAUUGCAUUCCCAAGUUUUAGCUACAGCAAAAGCAUAGAAACAAUGACAAUCUUGCUAAAUUGUGUUAUUCAUAUUAUUUGUUCAGGUCAUUCUCUAUUCCUUUUUACUAGACUACGUUCUGCAAGGCUCCCCGCAAGCUCCUUCCCAUUUUAUAGUAGUAGCAAACUUGCCACAAGGUGGGAGACAGGAAGGAAGUUAGAGAAUAGAAGUUCAGAAACAUCUAUAUUCUCAUCUGAAGAAGUGAGGUACAAAGAUAUAGUGUCAGUAAUGAUGGAAGAAAAAACAGCGGUUUAGUAUUAAUAUACUGUUUAAAGCUAAAAGAUUACCAAUAGGGAAGCCAUAUACUAAAACAUGUAGAGGAGAUAGAGAGAAUCAUAGCAAGAAAUCAAUAAAUUAUGCUUGAAGUGAAAAAAAAAUUUAUUAUUUAAAAUAUAGAACAAAAAUGAUAAAAUAUUAAAAAGUGGCUAUUUGGCUAUUUCUGAGAAGUGAUACCAGAAGAAGAGAAUAUAGUUUCAUUUAGGAAACUUUCUAUAUGCUUUGAUCUUUUUAAAUUAUGAUUACAUAUAAUUUCAUGAAAAACAAUUUUUAAAACAGAAAAUGAAAUUAAACGAUUGUAAGCUGUGUUUUACUAGUUUUCAAUGGGAACAAACCCAUUAAUUUAAUGACCUAUGUUGUAUAGUUUUAUUUACAUUAAUGAAGGCAGCUCUUCUAGUCCCCAUUACCCUCCAUUAUGAAAAUUAUUUCAGGAAGUCUCUAAGGUAUUUCAGAUCAUUCCAGUAACAAUUAUGUCUUCUAUAUGCACCCAUUUAAAGAUGCUUCCUUUUGAGUCCUGUUGUCAAUAUCAACAAUGCAGGUUCUGGGGCCCUUUCCAGGGCUGCUGUUGCCAAAUUGCAAACUCAGACUCUGACUUAACAGAUUGCUGAGAACCAGAAGCUCUCAGGAUGUAAGUGGGGUGGCCGCUCUUCUUUCCCACCCUGUCACGCUCAACCGAAAGUCUCAGAAUUUUCCUUAUAAAAAAAAUAUUCCUUCAACUUCUGCUUGCAGUCCUUCUCCCCAUGAAGCUCAGGGAGGAAUCUGAGGGGUCAGGAGGGGACUCCCAGCAGGCACUUCUCUGACUGUUCUAUAUGCUGCUUUCAAACCUGAAAGAUGGCAAGGCUGGGGCUGGCCUCAAGCACUCGAAAGCUGCCAGAAUUCACGGGUUCCCUCAUUUCAGUUUCUUCUUUCUGAUUGGUUGUAUUGCUUUCAGACACAAGUUCUCUACACAGUAGGUACUGAAACCACCUUUGCAAAAGUUUACGACAGCAAGAGACGUGUAGCGUGGCUGACUCCAUCUUGUUUCUAGCCUCACAGACUGGUUGUCCUUGCUCAUUCCUGGGCUUAGGUCAAGCUAACCUUGGGAGGAACUUACUUUGACUUAAGUUUAAAGCUAUGAUGAUAAUAGUUCCUCCCUAAAACCGAUCCCGUCCUUGUUCAGGGAUGGAAAUCACCUUAGUAAAACCAGUGAACGACCAUGAGAUUAAGAUUAUGGGAGAGGCUUGAAUUCUGCCAAAAUGGAGGUGUACCUAAAUGAUUACCAGCCAUUUGUCCUUAGUUUGCCUUUAUAUUAUAUAACCCCUUGCUGUUCAGGUAGCCUUGUGGUCAGAGGUUGCAAUAUCUGUGACUUCACCAACUGUUCCUAUAGAUAAUAUCACUUUUGUAAAACCUAAGAUUUAUUUAUUUAUUUAUUAUUUAUUUUUGAGACAAAGUCUCAGUGGCUCGGGCUGGAGUGCAGUGGUGCAAUCUCAGCUCACUGGAAUCUCUGCCUCCCAAGUUCAAGUAAUUUUCAUGCUUCAGCCUCCUGAAUCGCUGGGAUUGUAGGCACAUGCCACCAUGCCCAGCUAAUUUUUGUAUUUUUAGUAGAGAUGUGGUUUUACCAAGUUGGCCAGAUUGGUCUUGAGCUUUUGACGUUAAGUGAUCCACCUACCUUGGCUUCCCAAAGUGCUGGGAUUACAGAGAGGUGUGAGCUACCGAGCCUGGUCUUUUGAGAUAAUUUUCCAGCUUCUGCAUUCUGGCAACACAGUAAUUCCCAUCCAGAGCAGGACUGAACCCGUCGUCCUGUGGCCCCCAUCCAGAGGUGGAUGCAGUGCAUGAGGACCAUCCUCCACAUCCCUGUGAUUUCACCUGCAGCCAUUCAGCAGCACCUGUUUCCUAGCCCACUGCCCACCAAAUUAUCCAUAAAAAUCCUAGCCUCUCAGGUCCUGGGGAGGCUGAUUUGAGUAAAAACACCAGUCCAACUACUUGACCAGCUCUGUGUUAAUUAAACAAUUUCUCUACUACAAUACUGUGGUUUGGUGAAUUGUUCUUUUCUGUGCAGUGGUCAGGAGGUACCAAUUGGAUGACUGCAAUAUACUGACCACGUAACUACGUGGUCACGUCUGCCAGCUUUGCAAACAGAUGUCCAGCUUUGCAAACAGAAUGGGACUAUGAAUGGCUCAUAAUGGACUCUAAUUCUAACAUCUUAGGACAAGAUUCUGGUUAAUGAGGAGAUACAGGCUGAUCAACAGUCCCAAUGUGGUUGGCUAGGUAGGCAGGAUAAGAUAAAUCCACAGUUACCCUGACUGAAAGCUUAUAGUGCAGAGUGUGGAAAGAAUCAUUUUCUCAGAAUGGCAUGGCAUUCAGAGGAUGGUGUUAGCUCUCUACAGGUGAAGCAUAUUCUGGUACAGAAAACAAUCCAGGUGCAACAUCAUGGAAUGGUUCUGUGUCCCCCUUAGAAGGCAUAAAUUGAGUGCUUUUAGGAGAACUUCUUCCUAGAUAGCAGAGAUGUUUGUGAAGAUGGUGUAAUUUGAGAUCAGUAGAGUCAGAACUAUAUUCAUCCUCAGUCCUAUUACGGAGCUUAAAUUUCCAUUUCCAUUUAGUUAGUUUUGGUUUGAGUAAAAACUGUUUUUAAAUGUAACCCAGAAAUGAGGGUCAAUUAGGUAAAUUAUAAGUUGUCCCAUUAUUAGCUGUUAAUAACUUUUCUCACAUUAGUUUCUUAGAUGAGUUAUGUAGUCAUGGAAAGGCUUUGGUGGAAUGCGUUAUAGCAGCAAGAGAAUUUUGAUGCCUGUUUUCAUGAUGCAGUGCCUACUGCAAAUAUCAGACAAGGUCUAAAAUUCUAUGAAAAACAAAUCAUUAUCCUUAGAAAGAAGUAAUUCAGAACACAUGAGACAUACGGUAAGGCCCGGGAUGAACAGACUGGCUAUGUUCCCACACGUCAAGCUUUGAGUUAGACUCUCAGGUUGGAAUUCUGCUGGUAGGAAUUUGGACAAGGUACUUCACACUCUGAUUCCAUUUCCUUGUUUCUAAGCUAUAAGCAGUUUUAAAACUGACUUCAUAAGGUUGCUGGAGUUUGAAUGAAGCAUAUGUAUACAUAUGAAUAUAUAAAUAAAAAUAUGUAAAUUAUUUAAUAAAUAAAGAAUAUAUAAAUAAGAAUAUAAUAUAUAUUUUUAUGUGAAUAAGAAUUUAUAUAAAACACCAAGCGGUGCCUAGCAUAAGACUUGAAAAAUGUUAGUUAUUAUUAUUAGCAGGAAUCUUAAAAACUCAGAACCAGUAAGUUUCUGGAAGUAAUGGGUAAACUAAAGAGGAAGAAAGAAAAAGAAGUUCGAGGGUCUGAAGAGACACUAAUGGUAAUAUUUCAGUUCAGUGUGCCAUUACUGUGUGUCAGCUCAGUGACUAUAAAAUUGGUCUGGGUCCUCUGACGCCCAGAGCUUCACAAGCAUAUUUUGAGAUGGGAUUUCAAGGCUUUUUCCACUUUGUGGGAUGAUUCCCUCCCUCUUUUUUCAGGGGAUAGGAAUUGUGCUAUAGCGAAUCAUAGAGACACGUGCGCGCACACACAUACACGCACACCACACAAGCACACACACACAAGCAGGUAGACACACGGGACUUGGGAUCAUAAGAUGAAGAUGUAAAUUUCAGCUUAACCCUUAACAGCCAUGAUCUUGAUCCUUUCACAAAGCUUUUGGGUCCAUAGUUUUCUUAUCAGUAAAAUGAAAAACUAAAUACAUAUCAUUUAUUUGUAAGGGCUUUUAGUCAAAGAUAAUCUUAGCAAGAGGCUCUUUGUAUACAAUUGAUAAGAACGAUUCUUCUUUGAAUAAAAUGGGGGAGACAGCGGAGUCUUGAAAAUUCAUAUCUCCUGUCUUUCCUUGCUAAUCCCCUAGGUAGUUAGAUACUGGACAAGAGGACUUCACAGGCCGUUUUCUGUUUUCAGUCAAGUGUUUCCACUACGGUGCUCUCUUCUUUGAACUAAAAUUAACUAUAGAAGUUGUGUACUACAUCUUUUUCCUCUUCUGUGGAAUGACUUUACAUUUUGCUGUUUUCCUACUUGAAAGCUUCUUAAAAUAUAGCUUUAUGUCUUUACCAGGCAUGAGGGCACAUACCUGCUGUCCCAGCUACUCAACAGGCCAGGAGCUCAAGGCUGCAGUGAGCUGUGUUCGCAUCACUGAAUCACUGUACUUUGGCCUGGGUAACAGAGUGAGACACUACCUCUAAAAAAAAAAAGUCGUAAUUUAUUUUCUCUUAUUUUAUUUAUUUUUGAGAUGGAAUUGCACUCUUGUUGCCCAGGCUGGAGUGCAAUGGCACAAUCUCUGCUCACUGCAACCUCUACCUCCUAGGUUCAAGCGAUACUUCUGCCUCAGCCCCCCACUUUGCUGGGAUGACAGGUGCCCGCCACGACACCCGGCUAAUUUUUGUGUUUUUAGUAAAUAUGAGGUUUUACUACGUUGACCAGGCUUGUCUCCAACUCCUGACCUCAGGUGAUCUACUUGCUUUGACCUCCCAAAGUGCUGGGAUUACAGGUGUGAGCUGCUGCGCCUGGCUUAACUGAUUUUAAAUAGAACAAUCAGUAAACAGCUACCAGGAACAAUUUUAAAGUAUGAUGAAAGUAGAAAUGUGUUCGUAUUAAGCAAUCAUUAAUAGGUCACUCUCAAUAAUCAUGGAUUGCUUUUAGUUUUAUGGCCUAAAAGUGGUCAAAUGUCUCAUUGCUGACAAGAAAAAGCUUUCCUUUUGUAACUCAUGUUAGUAGAUUUCAUUACAUUUAUCACAACUAUAGCUAGCUUAUGUUCAGGUUUCCAGUAUUUGGUAGAUGAAACCAGGAUUUGAAGUCAAAAGAGCUGGUUUUACAUCCAACUGUUACCACUUACUAGUUCUAUGAAAUUUAACCAAAUUCUUAAACUUUUAGAGCCAUACGUAUAGCUAAAUUAUGUUCUCCACUGUAUUCAAUUGGUUUUUAGAACACUGCACUUUCUUUUUUUUUCUUUUUCUUUUUGAGACAGAGUCUUGGCUCUGUCACCCAGGCUGGAAUGCAGUGGUGCGAUCUCAGCUGACUGCAACCUCCAUCUCCCAAAUUCAGCAAUUUUCCUGCCUCAGCCUUCUGAGUAGCUGGGAUUGCAGGUGCGAGCCACCAUGCCUAGCUAAUUUUUGUAUCUUUAGUAGUUAUGGGGUUUCACCAUGUUGGUCAGCCUGGUCUCGAACUCCUAACCUCGUGAUCCGCCUGCCUUGGCCUCCCAAAGUGCUGGGAUUACAGGCAUGCGUCACCACGCCCGGCCAACACUGUACUUUCUUGAUCAUCCUGUUAGUUUAUCCUCUGUGUCCUUCGCUAUGCCUUUCAACUGUCUUUGUUGGUCCUGCCUCCUCUUUCCCACCUGUCAUCAUUACGGUGCUCUAGGACCCAGAUCUUCAUAAUCUCAUCUUCUCCAUGUGUACCCAUUCUCAAUAAUCUCAACCAGCCCAAAGCCUUUGCAUGAUACCUAUAUGUCAGUAAUUCCCAAGGUAAAUCUCCCUUGUCCCUAACUCCAGACUUAUAUGUCCAACUACAUAUUUGACAUUGCCACUGGAAUGUGCACUAGACAUACUUUCAAUAUGCCCAAAAUAAAAGUCCUUGAUCUUCCUCCACAAACCUCUUCCAUGUACAAUCAUUCUAACCUCAAUUUAAAUGACCCCCUCAUCAUAGUAGUUUAGGCAAAAACCUUAGGGUCAGCCCUUUCAUCACCCCAAUCAAGACACUUAGUUAUUGACUAUUCCCGACAAUGGACGGUUACCAUUACAGCCAGGGCCACCAUCCUGUCUGUCUGAAUUGCUGCAAUAGAGUCUCACCUCAUCUGUCCUCUUCCUUUGGCUCCUAGCAGUCUCUUCUUCCUGAGGCGGGGAGAGAAAUCCUUUUGAAAUGUAAAUAGAUCGGAUGAUGUCACUCCUCUCCCUAAAGCCAGCAGUGGCCCCCCUUUUACACAGAGAAAGAGAGGAAAGUCCCUGCAAUGGCCUCCCAGAACCCAUGUGACCCUCCAGCUUCACCUUCUAUGGCUCUUCACCUCAUAUAUUCCCUUCUAGCCCCAUUGGCCCCCUUGCUGUUAUUCUAAUAGGCCUUCUCACAGGACUGUCAUACUCCUGCCUUUUCGUCUUGGCACAGGAUAAGCCCUAUACCUGCAGCACCUUCAUAGACAUUUUUUGUCUCUUUCAGGCCUUUGACCAAAUACCAGCUUUUCAGUGAGACCUAUACUGGCCAUGCUAUCUUAUCAGACAAAUUGUUUUCCAAACUGUCUCCCAAAUUUCUUAUUCUAUAACAUUUAGCCCUUUCCAAUAUAUUACACAAUUAACGCAAUUUUUAUGUUUAUUAAAUGCAUGCAUUCUCUCUUCCACCACUAGAAUGAAAGUUCCUUGAGUGGAGAGAUGUUUGCUUCUUUUUUUUUAAUUUUUUUUGAGACAGAGUCUCCCUCUUUCACCAGGCGAAAGAGUGCAGUGGUGCGAUCUCAGCUUACUGCAAUCUCCGCCUCCUGGCUUCAAGCAAUUCUCCUGCCUCAGCCUCCCAAGUAGCUGGGACUACAGGCACACACCACUACUCCCAGCCUGGCCAGGAUGGUCUCGAUCUCUUGACCUCAUGAUCCGACUGCCUCGGCCUCCCAAAGUGCUGGGAUUACAGGCAUGAGCCACUGUGCCCAGCCAAUGUUUGCUUUUUUAAUUGAUUCAUCCCAACGCCUAGAAUAGUGCAUGAUACAUAGCAAGAGAUGAAUAAAAUUUUAGUUAACUGAAUGAAUGAAUGUAUAUUUUGAAGUGAUUUAUGAGUCUUAAAUAAAAUAAUCCAAACGACAGCACCUACACUGAAUCACUGAAUGUAUCAUUUUAGUCAGGUAAAAAUAGCUUCCUAUACAAAGUUCUAUAUGAAUUAUGAGAGCAAUGGAGUUAAAAUAAGGAAACUUAAUUUGAGGGAUUUUUUUUUUAAUCAAAUCCCAUGCUUGUUUGCAUGAUGAUAAAUUUUUGGUAUAAAAAGACUAUUCAUGAGCAUUUUAUCAAAAUGAGAUUGUUGUAUAGUCAGUGUCCCACCUAGUGGUAAGCAGCACAUUGCCUUAGCUGUCUUCAGGCUUUUUCUGAACUUAUAAUAAGUGUCGCCGGAGAAAUCACUACACUUUAUUUUGAAGGUUUUUAAGAAGUAUCACACAUGUCUCACAGAUAUUUCAUUAAGGGACUAACGAAUGAAAUGGUUCGCAUUUUAUAACUUAAAAGAAAUUCUCUUGAAGUCAGAACCUUAAUACCUGUGAUGAGCAAAGCUUGUGAACUCACAGGAAUCAUCAUAAACAGCCCUUUUGGACUUUGCAGGUCUUUGGUUUCCAGGUUGGAAAUACAUGGUUACUAUUUUUGGCAUACGCAAGACUUUUAAGAAUGAAUCAAAUUUCUGUGUUUACUUUAGGGAUUAACAUAUACAGGCAGGGCAGAUAAAAAAGCUGUAAAAUCUUUGCAAUUUCAAUAAAAAGACACAGAAAAACUUUAUUGUUUUUUAAUUAUUAUAGCUAUUUGGUGCUGAUAGCACAGAUGAAAUCAAAACGUGGGACACAAGAUGCUAGUGGAAAACACCUUACUGGGUUUUUUGUUUUUGUUUUUGUUUUCAUAAAAAAAGAACAUUUAUCAUGUGUUUGAAGGGUAGUGAGUUAACAAGGCUCCAGUGCAAACCCUACCUAACCGUGGGCUGGAAGGUUUACAGCAGUGUCACUUCCAGCUGCCAGCAGGUGCUGCUCUGGGUGUCAGGCUAAAGACGCGAUUCAUUAAGUUCUGCCACUCCAGUACUGUACUCUUUAUGACAAGAAAAACAAGAAAGAACAGUGAGUCUCUUAUAUUUAACCCAUAAAACUUAACACUCUGACCUCAAUCAUAUAAACCAGAAGUGAAAGAGGCAAUUGCAAAUCUGACCAAUAAAACUGGUAAAGCACUUACAUGCCAGGAGUAGAAUAUAUGUCUCUGUGUAUGGGAAAAAGAACAAUCUGCAAAUUCCUCUGGUAGGUGGUACCACAACUGGUGUAGUCCAUAUCCUCUGCAGCAUUUGAGAUGUGUUUGUGCACACUUGGUAGGCUACUGGGUGGUCUCAUUGUGAGCUCAAUUACACGCUGGAGUGGGGAAGCCUCGGGGUAGAAAGAUAAGUAAGAGAAGAGCCACUCCCCUAAAGCCUCUGUUGUGGGGAGAAAGUCGAAUCUCAAGUCUGUUCAUUUCCUUCUCCAUGUCAGGACUAAAAAACCCAUUUGUGUCCUAGAAAGGCUUUUAAAGUAGACACGAGAGAACUAUUUUGUACUAAAACCCAGACAUAGGGCACAAGGCAAUGCUGUUUUGGAACAAAUGCUAAAGCACCAGGGUAUAGGAAAGAAACUUCCAGGCCUCCAGCAAACACGAGGCUUUGGUGCACAGGAACCUCAGCUUGUUCUCCUUUGUGCAGGUGGAACAUGGCAAAUGAUGAGUCUCUUUAUCUUUACAUGGAAUAAUACAAGAAGGUCCACCACUCCCAUAGUUUUGCUGCAUUUAGGGCUAGAAUAAAUCCUUUUAAGGUCCCUUUUUUUGUUAUUUUGGAAGAGGUGGGGUGAGGAGAUGGAGGACAGGGAAGAAGACUCUUGCUGAGAAAGAGGACCUGGUUGAUGCUUCUUUUGUUUAAGAAACUCCAGAAUGUGUGCUUGGGUAGCUCUGAGUAGUUUGAGGUAAGUGGUGAUCCUGUCUUUCUAAAAAAGUCACUGGUAGAUAGAGCAUAAAAGAAGAAAUCUUUAAGGAAACAGACUCUGAGAAGUUGGUCAGUGAACUUCCAGGUCUUUUAAACAUCAAUAAAUUACAAAAGUUUCUUCCUGGUCAAGGACCAAGGACUUGAUCAGGAAGAAAUUUUAGUAAUUUAUUGAUUUUUAAAAUUCACUUAAAAUAUUUUGUAUUUAUUAUUUUCUGACAUCACCUCCUAGUAAUAACCCAACCUGAUGGUAAACAUGUGCCACAUACCGUAGUUUAUUUGUUAUACUUUUGGUAAAUUAUGGAAAAUUUGUUGCCUUCAGUAUGGUGUACAAUAGUGUGGGGGAAAGCAGAGUGGAAACAAGGAAACUUUUGAGAAGCAAGCAAGGAGCUCUAGAGUAGGCGUCCUCAAUCAUUAAUGCGGCUAGCAGCAUUUUAAGACAACCCUCUAUAAACACAAUGAGCUAGUACUAUUGUAAAUACGUUAUAUUAAAUGGCAAAGUAAUUCGAAAGAUGUAGAGAAGGUUAUUGAUCAGUUGACCUUAAGACAAGGGGUGUCUCCAGGUUAACCUAAUCUAAUCACACAAGCCUUUUAAAAGCAGUGUUUCUUCCAGCUGGUGGCAGAAGACAUUAGAGAUAUCGGAAGUUUCAGGGGGUAUUUGGCAUGAGGUUGGUUUAUUGUGGAGAUGGAGGGAGACAGGUGGAAGGACCUCAGAGUAGGUUUUAGGAACUAAAAGUGGUCCCCUGAAUGAAAGCCAGCAAGAAGACUGGCACCUCACUCCUACAACCACAUGGAACUAAAUUCUGCCAACAACUUGAAUGACCUUGGAAAGAAAUUCUUCCCCAGACAUUCCAAGUAAGAACAUAAUCCUGGCAUGACAUUGGUUUUAGCCUCAUAAGAUCCUAGACAGAAAACCCAGCUGGGCCCUCCUAGACUUCCGACCUACAUACCUGUGCAAUAAUAAAUGGGUGUUGCUUUAAGCAGCCAAGGUUGUGGUGAUUUGUUAUGCAGCAAUAGAAAACUAAUAGACUGGGGUGAGAAAAUGUUGGUUUUCUUUAAAGAAUGGAAUGACACUUGAUAACCGCGAUUAAAAGGUUGACCCAAAGAGCUUGGACGAUGUGGGGCCAUCUAGGUGUCAGGCAAUAAACAAGAGUGUUGUUAGGUCAAUACUUAUUAGGUAUUUUGAUUCGGUGUCCAAGGGAUACCAAAAUCCCUGUUUGCUUGUAUGGCAGCCAUAGGAAUGUGCCUCUCAACCUUCAACCACAGAGAGUGUAGUUGAACUCCAGCUGCCGCUCUUUGAAAUCCAUCACUGCUUUGUACCAAGCUGUGUCUUUCAAGGGGCUGCUCCUUGCCAAUCAUUGAGUGCAACACGGUUCCUAAAGCACAGUCAUUUUGGAACAACAAGAGACUUUUCUGAUGGCUUUGGUUUCAGGAGUCCUUGACAGCUUUAGCGACGCUUCCCUAAAUUCUAUAGAAGACUAGCUGCUUCCGUCCAAUCUCUCUUCCCUUCCUCCUUCACGGAAGUCAGACUUGCAUCCUAGUUAGACUGCUUUCUCAGCCUUCCCUGGCUGCCUCCCCACCUGUUUCUUAUAUCUUCUCUCCUUCCCUCCCCACCCUCCCAUUCCCUUCCUUCUUUUUUAGACAUGGGAUCUCACUGUCACCCAGGCUGAAUUAUAGUGACAUCAUCAUAGCUCACCCCAGCCUUGAACUCCUCAGCUCAAACCAACCUACAACCUCAGCCUCCUGAGUAGCUAUGACUACAGGUGCAUUCCCCCACACCUAGCUAAUUUUUAAGACUUUUGGCAGAAAUGAAGUAUUGCUAUAUGUUGCCCAGGCUGGUCUCAAACCCUGGGCUUAAACAACCCUACUUUGGCCUCCCUGAGAACUGGGAUUACAGGUGUGAGCCACUGCACCCAGCCUUCACCAUUUCUUCACACAGGCAUUUUCUCCAACAAAAUCCUUGCAAGAUUAAUCCUGCCUUAAAUCUGCCUUUUGGAAAACCUGGAUUAUCUUUCCUCUUCCUUUUGAUAUGAACAUAAGACAAAUGCUGUGGCCAGGCGCGGUGUCUCAAGCCUGUAAUCCCAGCACUUUGGGAGGCCGAGGCGGGUGGAUCACGAGGUCAAGAGAUCGAGACCAUCCUGGUCAACAUGGUGAAACCCCGUCUCUACUGAAAAUACAAAAAAUUAGCUGGGCAUGGUGGCACAUGCCUGUAAUCCCAGUUACUCAGGAGGAUGAGGCAGGAGAAUUGCCUGAACCCAGGAGGCGGAGGUUGCAGUGAGCCGAGAUUGCACCAUUGCACUCCAGCCUGGGUAACAAGAGCGAAACUCCGUCUCAAAAAAAAAAGACAAAUGCUGAUGACAAAAAUAUGACUACCUGAAGCUCCAGGCCAGAGCUAACGUAGGUCUGUUGUAAAUAGGCAGUACCUCAUCAAGCCCCCUUUACCUCAGCUGCAUUGUACCUAUGUUGACCUGAAUGUCCAAGAACCAGAGGAUCCCGUUAAUCCAAACUUGAGCUUCAGAUUCUACCACUACAAUAAUGAGAAGAUAGUUGAGUCAAAGCAUCUCCACUAAUGUCACUGCUUUUAUUUUGGGGGUUGCCAGUACACUAUAAUACAAAUAUUUCUAAACGGUAAAGAUUUUUAAAAGAUGAGGUGUGAAAUAAAAUCUGCUCAACUCUUCGAAAGGGAUGUGUUAUUCUGAACUCUGUCAUAGCCCACUUGGGCUAUUAUGACAAAAGUCCCUGAGUGGAUGGCUUAUAAAUAGCAGAAAUUUAUUUACCACAGUUCUGGAGUCUGGGAAGUCCAAGAUAAAAGUACCAGCAGAUUUAGCAUCUGGUGAGAGCCAGCUUCUUCAUCUUCUCUGUAACUUCACAUAGUGGAAAGGACAAAGGAACUAUUUAGGGCCUCUUUUAUAAGGGCAUUAAUUCCAUUCACGGCCUAAUUCAUAGAAAUCCACAUUUUCUAUGGGUGGAGUCAUGAAGGACCUCCCAGUGGCCCUUCCUUCCAAUACCAACAUGUGAACAUGAGAGAGCUUGCCUGUCUCUCUCCGUCUGUCUCUCUCUCCCUGUCUCUCUCUCUCUCUCUCUCUCUCUCUCUCUCUCUCUCUCUCUCCCAUGAGAAUACAAGAAGACAGCUGUCUACAAACCAGGAUAUGGGCCCUCACUAGUCACUGGGUCAAUUGGUGCCUUGAUCUUGGACUUACCAGCCUCUAGUACUAUAAAUUUUUGUCAUUUAAGCCACCCAGUCUAUGAUAUAUUUGUUGUACCACUACCAAUGACUAAGAUGAUCCUAUAAUUCUCAACUGAAAAUUAUUUGUCUUAAAACUGUUGGCAUUGCUAUAAAAAGUAUUUUAAUUUUAACUUUAAAACAAUAAAUGAGGUUGAAAUGCAGUCAUUAUGAAAUAAAGUUAAACUUUGUGUCAACCAACAUCUAUGAAUUAAAAUGGCAUUUUUCUUUACAGUUGGGUGAUUUUUGUAUGCUACAGUGGCAAAGUUUGUAAAUUAUAAAUCAGUAAGAAACCUAUUUAAAAUAUGCUUUUGAUGAGAGACCUGAAUGUACCCCUGAGGCUCAAGCCAGAAGACACUUCACCUUCAAGAAAUUCUUCUGCAUAUUAUUCACCCAGACCCACUGAGGGGAAGGACAUUAUUUGAAGAACAAAAGAUCACUAUUGUUUUUUGUUAAACAUGUUUUUUUAAUAUGUCCUUAUCAAGGAAUAUUUUAAACAAUAUAUGAAAAGCCCUAUGAUAACAAUUGAAAAAAAAUACUGUUCUGAGUAUAGGUCAAAGAGAUUGAGAGAUCAGCAAAUCAAAUUUUAUGUAUAUAUAAAUAGAAAACCCUGAGCAAAUCAUUAAACCCAAUUUAACAUGUAUCGCUACAGUUGUUCACUCUCAAAAGGAUCAACAUGGAAGGCUCUGAAAGAGCGCUGGCUUUGUAACUCAGUUCAAAUCCCAGCUCUGUCCUUUGCCCUUUGCUUUCUGUGGUUCAGUGUUGUUGCUGUGCCUCGCUUUGAAAAGUAAAGGAGACAGGAAAUGUAAAAAUGAAUGUCAUAUAUAUGAAAUGGAUGGUAAUGAGGGCAUAUAUUUUAGGUAAUGCCAUUUUUUAAAAUGCUUUUCAGCCAGCUCUUGGGUUAACUCUUAAUUCAUGGCAAUGCAGUCAUUUUGAGAGGGCAGAAAGAUGGUUGGCAGUCAGGGAAAACCUGAGUAAGUGAAAACAAUUGAAAAUAUCUUGAAACUUCAAGAUUAUCUGGACACUGCUUUUACACAAGCUUUAAAAAAAAUCAGGCAAAAAACAAAAAACAAACAAACAAAUCAGGAGUCCUUUGUGUGUCAUUGGCUUUCACUCCUCUUUCCACUUUUUCAUGGAAAUGACACAAAGGGAAGUGCUGGGAAGGAAGGAUAUGUUCCCUCUAUAUGACACAGAAUGGGGAAAGGGAAGUGUGGGGUAGAGGAGGGCAUGGCCCCUGGCUAGGGCUCCACCCUUGGGCCUCUGCUCAUGGACAUACACGAGAGCAGGUAUUUGUGUUUUUCUGCCCAAAUGUUGCAUUUCCUAAGACCACCCUGGCCUGACAUGCCCUCAUCCUGUGCCUAUAAAAACUCCAAGACCCUAGAAGACAGACACACAAACAGCUGGAUGUCAAGAAGACCACAUCAGCGGAAAAAGACACAAACAGUUGGAUACUGAGAGGACAUUGAGGGGAGCACACCAGUGGAGGACCACACUGACAGAUGUUGGCACACUGGCAGGCCAUCAAAGGUGAAACAAUGUAGAGUUUGGCCAGGUAGGUCAGAGAAGAGCCUUGGCCUCUGAGUCGCUCGACUUCAGGGGAAAACCAUCUCCCUCCUGGCUUUCUCAUCUGCAAGAGCUACUUCCACUCAAUAAAACCUUGCACUCAUUCUCCAAGCCCACGCGUGAUCUGAUUUUUUCAGUAUACCAAGGCAAGAACCCCAGGAUGCAGAAAGCCCUCUAUCCUUGCACUAAGGCAGGGGGGUCUAAUUGAAUUGACUGACAUAAACUGCCUACAGAUGGCUAACCUAAAAGAGCACCCUGUAAACAUGCCCACUAGGGUUUCAGCUGCAAACAUUCACCCCUAGACACUGCUGUGGGGUCAGAGCCUCACAGUCUGUCCAUCUGUGUGUUCCCCUAGAGGUUUGAGGAGUGGAGCACUGAAGAGGUAAGCUAUACCCGCAGUGCACACCCAGCAAGGGGACAAGGGAACUUUUCCUACUUAUACUGGGGGCUCGUUUGGGAUCUCUGAAGGUGAGUGUGAGCAAAUGUGAAACUGUCAGGCCUGCCUUUCUCCCAAAACCCUGCCACCUCUCUCUCUUUCCUGUAGGUAAAAGGCUCUGUUUUCCUUUCAUCUCUUUUCUCUCUCUUACACGGUUUGAAAUGGCUCUUAUCUCUUUGAUUAUAAAGUUAAGAGUUUUGCUACAGGCUGUGGCAAUGUUACAAGUAAAAUGAGCGUUUGGCUGAGCAGCUAAAGGUGCAAAUCAGACCGAUUUUUCCUAGCGUUGACAACCACAGGCACGCAGGGCUGGAGCACCUCUCCUUAACCUUUCCCCUCCCAGCUCCAGCGUGUGAGUGUGCCCGCAGCAGAAAAGGCUCAGCUCAACAGCCAUGGGAAGUGGGGUGGUACAGGAGAAAACCUGGGGUAGCUGGGACCCUACUGGGUGGUUCUUGCCCACCCUCCCAAUGGAACCUUUCCUCCUUUGGCCAAGGAAUUCAACCUGGUCUGACCUGAAGGAAGGAUGGGAAAGUUACCAGGAUUAGAGGGGCCCACUUGCACUAAGCAAGGAGUUUUUCCUUUAGCAUCUCCCCCUUUUUGCCCCUUAAACUGUUUUUCUCUUUUUCCCUUUUCUAAGUGAGAGGGCUCGCUCUCCCAGCUCUGUUUCUCAUAGGGAAAUUAACAGAAGAGUGACUCUUGCUGGCUGAGAACUGCAGAUUCAGCAGGGCACAUGUGAGACAUUCUAAACAGCCUCUAAAGCAUCCUUUCUUGUUUCCAAGCUUCAGGCUGAGGCCCUAGAAAGAAAAACCUGGUCUCAGGGAUCCAAAGCCAGACAAUAGACAGGACCAGUUCCUGCUGACUAAACCCCCCACCCCAUGGACGGAGGCCACGUUUCAUGGCAUAAACAGGUCCAGGGCCAACAGCAUGGAGAAAGGGAGGCAUAGGUGAGGGCAGUUAGUUCUGAUUCUCCAGGUUUGCUCUGUUUCAUGGUUACAUAUUGCAUUUGCACCUAUGGCUGACACCUGCCAAGGUCACUGGGGCUCAGGGACAAGAGAUGGAAAAUGAAGGGAGGACACUCACUUUCUCCAUCUCACCAUGAGUUUUUCACUGAAAGAAGAAAGGAAAAUGAGGACACCUCUAUUCCCUGUCUUUCUGAAUGGACAACCAGUUCUCUUCACCACCCUCAGCUUAUGCUCCUCUGGGGUGUAUCCUGAACCAUUGGGAUUGCUUUGACCCCCAGACCCCCAGAAUCUAGAGGAAAGGUUCCUCAUAGCCCUCUAAACAAAGUUUGGCCAAAUUGUAAUUUAUAGGAAGGACUGGGUUGGCCCCAGGAAGGAACGAUUCAUUUCAAUACCAUCCAGCAGUUGAAACAUUUUCUGUAGAUGUCAGAACAGAUGGUCUGAGGCCCCAUAUGUGCAGGCUUUCUAUACCUUGCAAGGCAAUCCAGACCUUUGCUGACAGUGUAAGAUUGAUCCAGCCCUCCUGUUUGCCAUCUCCGGGAAGGCUACAAGGGGUAAUUCUAGGGAAUUAAAGAUAUGAGUCCCAGAGACACUCCCAGCAGAAAAGCCAGCUGUCUCAAGCCCUGCUCCUCUGGGUCCACCCCAACCUCGGUAUUCUAUUCAGCCUCUCACUCUCCCCCUCUCAGAAAUCCUCCCCCUAAUCAAGCCCCCAUCUCACUCUUACCCUUCCAACAGAUGCCUAGUGAAUUUGGGCCCAGUAACGUCCAGGUUCUCUUUUCCCUACAGAACUUAGGUAAAUUAAGGGGGAUCCUGGCAAUUUUUCAGAUUACUCUGAUAGAUAAAUAAAGGCUUUCCAGAAUUACCAAAUAAUUGAACUCUCCUGGAAAGACGUUAUGUUGCUUUGGAAUUAAACCCUGAUGGACACUGAGGAACAGGCCACUUUGCAAGCAGCAGAGAGACAUGGGGAUGAGCUUUGUAUCACACAUAGCAUCAGGGAAGGGGGUGAAUAUUAUCCCAACCAGAAAAGAAGCAGUACCAGUGGAUGAUCCUAAACGAGCUUCCAAUGAUGAGAUCGUACACUGGACGAAGAGACACUUUCAGGCGUGCAUAAUGGAAGGCUUAUGUAGAACUAGGACCAGGCCUCUCGAUUAAACUAAGCUGUCCAUGAUUGACCAGGGAUUUGAUGAAAAUCUCACUGCCUUCCUGGAGAGGCUAAGAGAGGCCUUGGUAAAGAACACCUCCCUAUCUCCUGACUCAGUCGAGGGACAACCACUCCUAAAGGGUAAACGUAUUACCCCGGCAGCUCCUGACGUCAGGAGGAAGCUACUAAAGCAGGCUCUGGAACCAGGUAGUACGUUAGAGAACCUCCUGAAAGUAGCCAUCUCGGUCUUUUAUAAUAGAGACAGGGAGGCCCAGGAAUGAGAGAGGAAAUACACGAAAGAGACAGAAGCUUUAAUGGCCACCAGACAAGCCCACAAACCCUAGAAUUCUCAGGGUGUACCUCUUAACUGCUAAAGAUAUGGUAAGAACAGUUAUUUCAUUCUAAAAGUUCAUCCACUUACAAGGUUUAAUUUCUUUCACCUGGGUGAAACAGCUCAGGGUACAAUGUUGUUGUUAGCAUGAUUUACUGCUUGUCUCUGUAAUCUUUGGCACUAAGUUCUUUUUUUGUAUAAUACACAUAUUUAACCCAUGCAUACUUAUCCUCAUAAAACUUGAUUUUUUUUCUCUCACGCCUAGAAGCCAUCAAACUUCAACCAGUCAGCCAACCAGAGCCUCAGAUGAUGGCUCCCUUUUAUUAGAAACCCUUGGAUAGACCUGUGAGAGGAGUCUGACUGCCAGUUCUCCCAGAACAACGCCCCCUGUCACCAGGAAACAACUAAGACAGGUCAUCAUCCGUAUUCUAAUGACAGAUGUACCUCUUCAGAGGGGGGACAGGAUACUGAAGGGAAGUGCUGGGAAGGAAAGGCCAUGGUUCCUUUAGAUGACACGGAAGUGGGGAAGGGAGGUGCUGGGUAGAGGAGGGCAAGGUCCCUGGCUAGGGCUCCAGCCCCAGGCCCAUGCCUGCGGACCUAGGUGAAGACAGGCAUUUUUGUUUUCCUGCCGAAUGUUUCAUUUCCCAAGACCGCCCUGGCAUGCCACGCCCUCACCCUUUGCCCAUUAAAGACUCAAGACCUAGCUUACACAGUAUGGCCGCUCGCUCUACUCUCUCUAACGGGGAAGCAGCAGAAUACAAGAGACUGAACUGUAUCUGCCUCUGUUUCCAAAACACGUUCAACUUUCACUCACACGAAGCCGGGAAAAUUUUAUUAAUCCUUUUUUUAUAAAAAGUUAAUAUAAAAUGAUAGCAAAAAAAAAAAAAAAAAAAAAAAACAGCUGGAACAAUCCGAAGUGGCGGCGGCAGCGUUGGAGAAGAGGUUUAAUUUAGUUGAUUUUCUGUGGUUGUUGAUUGUUCGCUAGUCUCACGGUGAUGGAAGCUGCACAUUUUUUCGAAGGGAUCGAGAAGCUGCUGGAAGUUUGGUUCUCCCGGCAGCAGCCCGACGCAAACCAAGGAUCUGGGGAUCUUCGCACUAUCCCAAGAUCUGAGUGGGACAUACUUUUGAAGUAUGUGCAAUGUUCAAUCAUAAGUGUGACAAAAACUGACAAGCAGAAAGCUUAUGUACUCAGUGAGCAUAGCACGUUUGUCUCUAAGAGACGUUUCAUUUUGAAGACAUGUGGUACCACCCUCUUGCUGAAAGCACUGGUUCCCCUGUUGAAGCUUGCUAGGGAUUACAGUGGCUUUGACUCAGUUCAAAGCUUCUUUUAUCCUCGUAAGAAUUUCAUGAAGCCUUCUUACCAAGGGUACCCACACCAGAAUUUUCAGGAAGAAAUAGAGUUUCUUAAUGCAAUUUUCCCAAAUGGAGCUGCAUAUUGUAUGGGACAUAUGAAUUCUGACUGUUGGUACUUAUAUACUCUGGAUUUCCCAGAGAGUCGGGUAAUCAGUCAGCCAGAUCAAACUUUGGAAAUUCUGAUGAGUGAGUUUGACCCAGCAGUUAUGGACCAGUUCUGCAUGAAAGAUGGUGUUACUGCAAAGGAUGUCACUCCUGAGAGGGGAAUUCAUGACCUGAUACCAGGUCUGUCAUUGAUGCCACAACGUUCAAUCCUUGUGGAUAUUCAAUGAAUGGAAUAAAAUCGGAUGGGACUUACUGGACUAUUCACAUCACUCCAGAACCAGAAUUUUCUUAUGUUCGCUUUGAAACAAACUUAGGUCAGACCUCUUAUGAUGACCGGAUCAGGAAAGUUGUAGAAGUCUUCAAACCAGGAAAAUGUGUGACCACCUUGUUUGUUAAUCAGAGUUCUAAAUGUCGCACAGUGCUUUCUUUGCCCCAGAAGACUGAAGGUUUUAAGUGUCUUGAUUGCCACAGUGCUAUGUUCAAUGAUUACAAUUUUGUUUUUACCAGUUUUGCUAAGAAGCAGCAACAACAGCAGAGUUGAUUAAGAAAAAUGAAGAAAAAAAUGCAAAAAGAGAACACACGUAGAAGGUGGUGGAUGCUUUCUAGAUGUCCAUGCUGGGGACAGUGCUUUCUGUAACCACCACUGUGUAGUUGCAGAAAGCCUUAGAUGUAAUGAUGGUGUAAUCAUUUUGAAUUGUAUGCAUUAUUACAUCAAGGAGUUAGAUAUCUUGCAUGAAUGCUCUCUUCUGUGUUUAGGUAUUCUCUGCCACUCUUGCUGUGAAAUUGAAGUGCAUGCAGAAAAAACCUUUUACUAUAUAAAACUUUAUAACACUUUUGAAAGCAACUCAAUUUGGUUUAUGCACAGUGUAAUAUUUCUCCAAGUAUCAUCCAAAAUUCCCCACAGACAAGGCUUUCGUCCUCAUUAGGUGUUGGCCUCAGCCUAACCAUCUGGGACUGUUCUAUUGCUGCCAGAAUUUUACAUCCAGUUACCUCCACUUUCUAGAACAUAUUCUUUACUAGUAUUAUUGAAACUAAUUUCUACUUCAUACAGAUGUUUUUUGAAACCGCAAUUAAAGUUCUUCUUCCAUGAGUCAAGUCCUUAAAAAAAUGAUUCCAGUUACUCAUUUUGCAUAUUUACUAUUUUAACAUUAUUGGAUCCUGCAUUGAUGGUGCUUUGAUUUCUUCCCUCUCCCUGGUGUCUCCCCCAAGACCCCAAAUAAAGCAAUACACUGU